UAAGAAUCAAUAAUUUCUCUUGCAUCCCUACCUCCUCUCUUUCUCUCUUUUUAGUUAUACCCGAUUUGUAGACUCUCUCUGUCUCUCUCUCAUAAUCUGAAUCUCUGUGAAACAAUGCCCAAAAUAGGGCGGCCCUUUCUUCUUUAGCUUUUAGUACUCUUUUUUUAUUUUUUCUCUUUAGGGUUUUGUUCUCUUGUUCAUUCCCCUCUAUAUAUUGAAACAUGCCUCCUUUCUGCAAGAAUAUCUUUCUCUAACCUCUACUUAGCCGAAAUCUAGAAACCCCAAUUCUCUUUGUUAUUACGAAUACUAUACAUAAUUUUGCUUUGUGGAGCUGAUUUGCUGUGUGUUCAUGCGUGGUGGGCUAUUAGUAUUAUUGUGGGUAAAGUAUAAACAUGGUGAGAGAGAAGAUCCCGAUCAAGAAAAUCGACAACACGUCGGCCCGGCAGGUUACUUUCUCCAAGAGAAGAAAAGGACUGUUAAAGAAAGCUAAAGAACUCUCAGUUCUUUGUGAUGCUGAUCUUGCUCUCAUCAUCUUCUCCUCCACAGGGAAGCUCUUCGACUUUGCCAGCUCAAGGUUUCUCUCUCUACUCUCUCUCCGUUUGUGUAGAUAAAUAUGUAGGUGUAGUGGAUUACACAUGGUGGAAGAUUGAUGAGUGCCGCCACAAAUUCUCUAGUAGACCAUAAGCUCGAGUCUGGUUUGAUUGUAUUCCUUAUCAAUCUCGUCUGCAGUUCGUAGUAAUAUAAUAAUCUGCUUGCUUGAUAUUGUCACAAAGAAUAGAGAGUGGCCAGGUUUGAUGGAAAGGGAUGAAUCGUUCAGAAAAUAUCUUCUGAUUACUGUCAGCUGAAUAGAGAGUAUUCAUUCUCAUCUUAUCACUUCCCAGUCAUUUGUUGUCUUAAUUAGUUUUCAUAUUCAUUUUCUUGUGCUUUUGACAGUAUGCCCUUUGCUAAUUUAUUUGAUUAAUUCCCCCAUUGACUUUUACCUUAAACAUUGAUAUUUUUGUAGAGUAUAAGUAAGUGAUAAAGUGAUUUCUUUUUAGUGAUAAAUGAGAUAUGAACUUACCAUACCUUACCAGUUUAAACUCUCGGUAAAUAAAAUACCAACUUUGGACAAACACAAUUUAAAGAAUGAAUGUAAGAAGAUCUAGGCAAUGGUUGAACUCUUUGUCUUUACGAUAAAUUUUCCCCACACAUGUGCCGACGGAGGUUUGACAAUUGUCUUCAAGAUACAAUAAUCAACUUCUUAUGAUGACAGCACUUCGAAUCACAAGAAACAGCAAAUCGAAUGUGAAGUUUUCUACUCCUUUUUGUGUGAAAUGGAACAAGAUUUUGAGGCAGAAUUUUGGCGAGAUAAUGAUGUUGUGUGAUAAGCUUUGAUUUCCUUUUUGUGUGAAAUGGAACAAGAUUUUGAGGCAGAAUUUUGGCGAGAUAAUGAUGUUGUGUGAUAUGCUUUGAUUGCAUAGAUGAAUUUGAAUGAAACCAUCACAUAGGGGUCCAAUUUAAAUAGGUUGAAGAGUUGCACAUGAAGUGACACAACCCAAUCUUGAACCCGUUCUCGAAAAGUUGCACAAGUAUGUGGUCGCUUGCUAACAACCUAGUAUUCUAUUCGAGUGCCCACAACAGGGACAGCGCCGCUUACUAAGCUCAUGGCGGAGGUUUGAUUUUAAAUUUCUCGGUUUUAAUUUAAAAAAAUAUGAUUUUUAACAUAACUUCAUUGACCAUUUCUCGUUCAUGCAGAAAUAGUUUUUAACUUCCAAAUAUACCAAGCUCAUCUAUUUGACGAGUAGAACAUGUUCGAUCCAUUUCUCACAAAAAUUUGAGUAGCAGGACCCAUCUAAAUAUUUGUUCAAAGAUUGGUAAAUCAACUUUCUCAACUAUUUUUCAACAAUUUUUUUCCUUAAAAGAAUGUUAGUGGAUCUGUAAAUAUUUUUACUAGUGCAUUUCUCUCUAGUUUCUAGCUAAGCUCUUGAUUAAUCCUGGUUUAAUAUUGUAUAGAAUCAAAUUCAAAAUUUGGUCUUGAGGCACCUCGAGAGAUUUUGAUCUCCUGAAGUUUUAUAUUUUCUACUUUAGUUCUUUCAAGCAUUGAUAAAUACUCUGCCUACAUAGUAUCUUGUUUGAAAAAACGGAGACAGUUGGUGCCUAUUGGGAUGCUCAUCUUCUGUGUGAGUGUAUAUUGAAUUAGAGCAUCUUUCAAGAGGUUCUUUAAAAAUGAAAUGCUCUCUAUUUUAAAGAGUCGACCCUUAAACUUAUACUCUCCAAGAGACUUUUCUAACUAACAUAUUAAAAUAGAGAGUGAGUUACUUUCAAAAUUAAGCGUUUAAGAUAAAGAAGUCGUUGAAGUAUUUAAAAUUUUUUGCUCUCUAAAUCCAUAGAUGCUCUUUGAAUUGUAAAAUAUGCUCUUUAAAAAUGGAGAAUUUCUUAAGGACGCUCUUAGGGUAGUAUAUAUGAGUAUAGGGAAUGUCUUCUAGGAAUAAGAGGGAUUCAUGGUUGAAUCAUGAAGGUUCUAUUAGGGAGAGAUUGAAUUUAAUUUAUAUCAGCCAAGGCAAUAUUCAUUGUUUUCUACCUCAAUUUAUCAAUUGAUAGUUUGCUUAAUUGAGGUUGGAGAAGACCAUAAUAAAAGCUUGGGCAAUGAUUUGGCCAAUCUUGAAUUCACAACCAUUCUGCAUGAUAUUUCUACAUCCUCGAAGUAAUAUUGACGUUUGUGGAUGUGCAAGAUUUUUGAUAGUUAGUGCUCUUAGAUGGAUUCAUUCUUCUAUAAAAUCUUGAUAUCGAGUUAAAUAACUACCUUAUCUAAAAGUUCUACACAACUAAUGAAAUGGAUCAAUAAGCUUUUUGUACCUAUUCCCAGUAUACAUUCUUGAAAAAGUAGGCCGAAUUGAUUUCUUUUUGACAAAUGUAUGCUCACAUGGUAGACCAAGAAUUUCGAGGAUGCAGAGUUUGAGUUGUAUUUGAAUGACGUUGAGAUUUAGUACAUACUAUAGUUGUGUCUUAACUUUAAAUUCUUUAAUAUUGAACUUCAAAGGAAUAUUUCUUAGCUCAUAUGUCAAAUGUUUUCCGGUAUAGAACAUGUUUGUUACGCAUUAUAACACAAUUUGAGAUUUUAUUUAUUUAUUUAUUUUUUAUUUAUUUUUUACCUUCCCUAGUAUAUUUCGCUCAAUUCAACACACCAAAUAUUACAUCAAGUUACUAUCUAAUAUAGACAGUAGCAUGUGUAGCAUAAAAUAAAUCAUAGGUUAGAGUUUAUUCUUUUGAUCUUACCCUGUCUUUGAUUUACUUCUCUAGUUAAGAUAGUUGACAUCUUUUUUUCCUAAGAUAUGCAUGUUGGAAUUAAUGGUUUAAUAAAUAAAAAUUAAAUGUGUGAAUUGAAAAUGUCUCCAAUACGUAUGUUGAUUGUUUGUCACUCUUUAAGUGCAAAAGGUGCAUAAUAAAGAGUCACGAUACUAAUAAGGUGCAAUCUUGACCAUCAAUCUACAAAUGAUGUGAUCUAAUGGUUGGAAUUAAUUUGGGACAAAAGAUUCAACUAAUUGAAGAGACGUGAAAAUCUAUAUAUAGGAUCCUCCUAGUUCCAUUACUCCCCUCCUAAUUAUUUCCUCUCCAAAUUAUGUCAAAAUAAUUUCCAAUUUUUUUUUUUUUUGUUAGAAUUUUUUGGUACUAGAAGAGUAGGUCAAGCAUUGGUUUACCUGUCAAAAUUAAUAUUGUGCUAUAUUAGUUUUGGAAGAAGCAUUGUAUCUUGACGAGAUUUGUAUUCGCAUACAUUGCUUCAUUUCAUUUUCUUCUAAUUUCUACGUUUCAAUUAGUCGAAAUUUGUACGCGUAUCUUGGUUUCAGUAAGUCAAAAUUAUAUUCGAUAUUUUUGCAAGUGUAAGUUGCAAUUUUAUCUUCUUUGUAAAUGAAAUAUAAUACAUGCACCUAAUUACAAAAGGCCAUAGACAAAUAAUUGAUUUUGAGUUUUAUUUUGGCAUGACAUGAGGUCAGAAACUAAGACCCGGAACUGAUCUUGCUUGUUUAAUUGGCUGGUAAUUAGCUUUAAUGAGAAUACAACUUUAGAGAUGAAUUAUCAUUUCAUGUCAUGUUAAGUUUCCAAUUUUGAUUUUCUAAGAGGCAAUUAAUGAUGUACAUGAAUAGUAGAAGAUAAGAUUUAAUGCAUAUGUCGUUUCUUUUAAAUGAUGUAAUUUUUAGAUUAGAUGAUUAAAAUGAUAUGAGAGUGACUAACAAGAUUUGGGUUAAGAGGCCAUGCCACGUAUUAAAAAAAUUUUGCGUGACAAGUUUGAUGGAAAAAAUGAAUCUAUUCAACUUGUGGGAGUUGAAGGCAAGAUAUAAAUGAAUACAUAUUAUAACUAAUAACUUCAACUUUUAGAUGAGAUGAUUGUUGGUUAAUAUGGAAUGAGACUUUUAUAUGCAGCUUGCAGCUCUGUGAUAUGUAAUUGUAGUAUUCUAGUUUUGUGAUGUUAUUUGUAUUCAAGUGUUUAUAUCAUACAUGGUUGGUUUGAGAAUAUUGUCUUGGGUUUAACCUUAAUUACCUUGUUAAGAUGAAUAAACUCUUAUCAUACUAGGUAAUAUUUGCUUGUUAUGCUAGGUAAUAUCUUUAAAGAUAAUGUCAUUCAUAGUGAAGACUAUCAGUAGUUAUCCUAUGUAACAUAUACAUGACUGUUUGUUAUUUGAUGCAAACUACCGUGUGUAUGCCUUGUAAGGAGACUAUCGGUAGUUUGUCUAUGUGGCAUACACAUGCCAAUUUAUGAUUUGAUGCACAUGUAUAUGCAAUGUAGGAUGACUAUCGGUAUUCUUUACUAUGAAUAACAUUACUCUAUUUCUAAUCUUUAAGUGAAUUAGAAUUUUUUCUUAACGUGCUCCAAGAGAUGGAGGCUCACUCCCUAUCUUGAAAUUCAACUAACACAUUGAAUUGCUCAUUUGAUAUUUUUGGACUCUUCCCCUUAUGCUUAAGCCCUUAGAGAAAGGGUGAGACGUAUUCAUUUAAGUGUUGUCUUCAAAAAUACCUGUGCUGGCCCUCUAAACUAUGGGACAUUCUAGUUGAUGACGCAAGAAUAUUGACUAUCUAUGCAUUUAGAUUUGAAACUGUCCUUGUACUAGCUGCUCUGUUAGUACAAUGAACAAUUAUGUGAGGUGUCCUCUCUCUCUUUUUUCGAGGGGUCUUCUAAAGCAUGAAGAACAUACUUGAAAAGCAUGGUUUGCACUCAAAGAACCUUGAAAAGUUGGAACAAUCAUCUCUUGAGCUUCAGGUAAUUUUUUUUUCUUUUAACAUUCUUAAUUGAAUAUAGCUCAGCAAUUGAAGGUUUAUCACUUGGUAAUUAGUGUUGUUUGAUAAAAAUGGAUUAAUUAGCGCUCAACAAUAUUAAUACUAAAAGCCGAAAAUCAUGAAAAUUUCAUCAUUCCAUAUGAUUUAAUGAUGCAUAAGAAUUUGCACUCACAUAGUUAUGCUAUACUCUUUGGAUAUAUGUUUGGUAUACAUUACUAUACAUUUCUUAAUAUUGUCUGAUGUGGUCGAGUAUACCUUAUUAAAUACGUAAUUCUUUUAUUUUGUCAUCUUACGAAUACAUGCAUACUUACAAGUAGAAACUGUGUUUUCGAUUAAUUUCUGAAAGAACGAGGGAAUUGCUAAGCAGAUAGUUGGGGACAGCAACUACUCAAGAUUAAGCCAAGAAGUUGCUGAGAGAAGCCAUCAACUAAGGUUUGCGCUUCCAUAACUCCUUUUGAUAUGGUCGGCAGAAAACUUUGGCAUGAUAUUUGUAAAUAUCAGGUACAUGAGGGGAGAGGAACUUCAAGAAUUGAGUAUUGAAGAGUUGCAGAAGUUAGAGAGAUCACUUGAAACCGGGUUGAGCUGCGUGAAAGAGAAAAUGGUAAGUGCUUAAGAUUGUGUACUGGGUUAUAUUUAUGCCUUAAUUGUAGAAUUUUUACUUGGAUUUCAUAAAUUUUUUACCUUGAUAGAGUAUUUUUAUUUUACAGGAUGAAAAAAUCAUGAAAGAGAUCAAUCAACUUCAACAAACGGUCACUAUGCCAAACUUGUUAAUACGAUCUUUGGAGAGAGAAAACGUCUAAUUAAUUGUUUUCGUGUUUAAAAUUAAUAUUUAGUACAAUUACAUGGUUCAUAAUUGAAUUUAAUUAAGUUUGCAUCACCAGAUUUUCAUGUAAAUAUAGUCUUAAAAUUAUGAAAUGUGCAGAGAAUGGAACUCAUGGAAGAGAAUGAGCGUCUAAGACUGCUGGUAUGAGCAGAAAAGAAUAUGCACCAUCUUCAUGCAUGUGAGCACUUAUAGUUUAAGGGAAAAUUGACGAUUUUAUUUUUUGUAUGCUGGAGAUAUCGAAAGGGGAGAAAAAUAUGAUAGCAGCUGAUUCUGCGAACAUAGUCGAGGAGGAAGGUCAAUCAUCGGAGUCGAUUACUAAUGCUUGUAACUCAAUUGGCCCUCCACAAGAUUCGGAUAGCUCAGAUACGUCUCUCAAGCUUGGGUGAGUUCAUUAUUAAUUAGCAAUGUGAAAUGUAUCGUACUGAAAAUGUUAAGUGAGAAAAAGAAAUUAAAAUCAUAUUUAUUGUAUGAUCUAAUCCUAUAUCAUAAGCUAUUUUAAAAGAGAAUCAUCCUUUCAUCGAUGAACUGUGGUUUCAAUUUCCGUUAUUCCUUUUUCAGCUUAAUUUCUUUUCUUGCAGGCUGCCAUACUUUAGCUGAAACAAUGGAGCUAAACUUAUAAUUGUUGAUGGAUGGAUGGAUGAUUACUUGCCGAAUAUGGAUGUUAAUAUAUAUGCCUCUGUGUUCGGUUUCCUCCCUUCUUAUGGAAUCUAUGAAUUUGUAUACUGAAAACUGAUAAUUAACUGCAGUAUGAUAUCAUGUCCGAAGUGUCAACCUUAAAACCAAUUUCACUCGGCUUGUAAUAAUAUAUGCGGGGGUGGAGAUGAUGAGGUUGGUCCAUAUCUAUUACUCGGCAUUGUACCCCAGCGAUGUUGGUGCGGCAUCAAUAGGAUUGACUUUUUUAUCGACCCAGCGUUCUUACAAAAAUUGUGACAUUAUUAUUCUACAUUAUAAUAUUUUCCUAUGGAUCGACCCUAUAAGAAGGCCUUGCAAUAAAUCCAAGGAAGUAUUUGAUAAUUGAAAUGAAGUUAUAGAAAGGAAACUAUUGCAAGAGAAUUUCCAUUUGUUGGGCAUUCUAAUAUAACAUUAAUUAGUGCAUGUUUGAUUCAGAUAAAACUCAGCCUUCUCGGAAAAGUUGAUAAUUUAUAUUAUUAUAUAAAUUAAUAAUGUAUAAAGAGACAUAAAUGCACAUUUAUUUUGCAUAUUUUACUUAGGUGUAACGCUAUUCAUAGUAAAGACUGACGGUAGUCUUGUACAUGGCAUACACAUGAAAAUUUGUUAUUUGAUGUAUCAAUAUGGUAAUUUUUUACUGUCUCAUGUAUCAGAUAAUAUCAUGUUAUGUACAUGUCAUGUAGGAUGAUUAUUGGUACUCUUCACUUGGGCCUACAUGAAGUUUUGUGAUUUUAUUGAUUUCACACCGGCAAUAAAAUGUUUCUCAGAUUCCCCAAAGAAAUAUAUGUCGUUUAAUUAGAUAUUGAUAUCAAUUUCUUUCCUAGAAUUGAUUUACUUUAAUUACAUGAAAAAAAUAGGAAUGAUUGAAACACUAAAAUGAAGAACUCACAAAGGCUACAAAAUAAAAAAGAACAUAACAAUAAACAAUGUGAUAAAUCGUUCUCAAAGGAAAUAUUCUAGAAAGUAAGGUAUAAGUUUUAAUUCUAGAUGAGGUCUAAAAACAAAUAAUCAUAAAAAGUAAGGUUUUUUGAAAGCACGUCUUUUAUACAAUAACAAGUCUUCGCUCGGGCAAUGCACGGGUUGGGACAUUUUGAAGUUAAUGUUAAUGUGUUCAAUGUAUAAGUAUUGACGGGAGAUAUGUGAGUUGAUUGAACAAAGGCUAUUAUUUUUUAACAGGUUUAAAGUACUUGAAAGAAAUAACAUCAUAAACUGUGGUUAUCUUCAUGGAUUUAAGAGCACAACUGGACGGAAGCAAAUUUAAACACUAUUGUUCAGCAUACAUCGAAUAUUGAAAAUGCCUCUGAAACAAAAAGUCACCAAUGCAUUUAAACUGUCAGAUUUAGGAAUCAGAUCUCAUCAUACCAAAAAAAUCGACUUCAGCAUGUUUAAGUCAAUUUGCUACUUUAAUGGACAUUUCAUAAGUUAACAAACAUAUUACAAGGAUGAACAGUAAAUCAUACCUUUAACAGGACCACCCAGUUUUUGUUUGCUAAUAGCCAAGCCAAUUAGCAUGGGCAUGGUUUAAUAAUACCUUUCAGUCAUCUUACCCAUGGUUCGUAGUUGUUCGCUCUAUCACCAGAUAUCACAAAUCCAUAGCCCUAUGUGCAUCCAGAAUAUUAUCCGUACUAUACUCAGUAAUAAAAGGUAAAGAUUUAUCAUUAGUUACCCAUGUGACCUAAAUGCGUUUAUCCCUAACAAAGGAGAUGUAAACUUACAAAUGGCCAUUUGUACCAAAAAAUUAAAAAAAAUCUAUCAGGUAUUGUACCAAUAAAUUAAUUUCAUUAAACAAAUUUCUCAGCAUUUCUUUAUUUUGAAGUUUAAGAUGCUCACAUUUAACAAGACAUUCUUGAUAUUGUUAAAUAGUUAAAUAGACUAACAGAGACUCCAACAUACUCACAAUAAAAUGAUUUUUGAAACUAAACAAAUCAAACUUUAAUCUAGUCAUUACAGAGUAUAAUCGAGCAAUAAUUCAUUAAUUCUACAACUGUUAAUACCUAAAAUUCCUAUACACUCAAACACCUUAAAAUAUUGCAUACAAUAUAUACUGCCUCUAAACAUAAUUAAUCCACUCUCUUUCAAGAAUUGAGUAAUCAAGAUGAACCAUAACCAAUUAAUCAUUUGAAACCCCCAAAAAACAAAGGAACUAUAAUUACAUUAAAUUAAAAUUCAAGAACAAUGAAUCUCAAGUGAAGUUAAUUUUUUCCUCAACUUCUCUUAUAAUAUCAACAAUUGACCGAAAACAAACUACUAAGAAACAAUUUACUUUUUUCCUCCCUAAUAUCGGGUGAGAGGAAGGCUUUGGAUUCCAGGGAAAAUGAAGUGCUCUUGAUGUUGUAGUUGAAAAUACUCUGUGGUGGUGGUGGUGGUGGUGGCGGCGGCAAUAGCGAUGGCUUGUCAGUCAACAUUAUCAGAAUUUUGGUCCAAAGAUAAUUGGUAAGGACAAAUAAAGACAAACUAGAACAAUUUAAAAAAUUUACUUAUCAUCUAAGAUCUAUAAAAAUACAUUCACUUCUUAUUUAAAUUUAUUUUUACACUUCUCCAUCAAACUCCUUGAAAUUAGAAGAUAAAAUUUGAUCAUCUGUGAAAAAUUAACGAGCUUCCGGUAAUAAAUAGUCAUGUACCCAGAAAAGCAGAUAGUUAAAAAAAGUUGUACUUAGGUCUAACAUCAAGGAUCUAUCCCACACAAUAUAUAAAUUCACUUUUAUGCUAAAAGUAAGCUAAUUUUUUCCCUAACCCAAAUUUGUACUUAUUCCAAACCGUGAAUGUACUAAAUUAAGAAAUUAAGUUAAGAAUAGAAGUUAAUAUAUUGUAAAAAGAAAAUAACAAAUAAGAAAUCAAGUUAAGGAUAGAAAUUAAUAAGGAACUAUGAAUGUACUAAAUUAAAAAACUAAGAACAAUAAGAAACGAAUUACCAAAGCAAGAAUUAUAUAAGUAAUUUACAUAGUCUGUUUUCUGUAAAACGGAUAUAGCUAUAAAAUUUAAGGUGCAAAAAUCUAACAUGAAGUGGAAAAAAAUUAAAAGAUAAGACUGCACAUUACUUGGCAACAAGAAAAGAAAAAAAUCGGACUUUAAACGUAGUGUACUUGAGGAUAACAAUAAACUUGAGAGAGAAGAUGAACAAAAGAAAGAGAUGAAAAAAUCUAAUAAUAACUUUAAAUAGAUGGUGAAGAAAAUAUUAAAUUAUUAAAUAUGAUUGAAAUAGAAAAUGAGCAAAAAUAAAGACAAUUUUUUUUUUAAAUUUAUUUCUUCUUCACUAAGGUAGCAACUGCAUUUAAUUUCAUUUGUAACCAGUUUAGUUAUAUAUAUAGAAUAAAUUAGUUAGUAAAAAUAUGUAAUGGUAGAGAACAACUAACUUAUGUAAGUAAAUCAAUUAUUACAAGAAGAAUUAACAAUAAGGUAAAGUUAACAAUAGAUAAUGACUAAUUUAUCAUUAAUUAAAUAAAAUAUUGGAAGAAGUAUUUAUAUAACCAUUUAAAAUCACCUAAAGCUAACAAUAUGUAUUAUGUAAUUUGAUUUUAUAAGGUAUUCGGAUUUUAGAAGAAAAGCACUUUGUAAAAGAAACCAAAAACAUAUAGUAGAAAUUAAUUGAAAUUGCAACCUAAACUUAUACAUACGUAGAGCCCAAGAUAUGCAAAAUAUUAACUAUGACAGAAUAUACUUGAAGGAUAAAUAUGUUAUCUUCAAUAUCUUUUCUAUAACUAAAUUAUUUGAGGAAUAUUGCAAUAGUUAUUAUAAUUUGUAUCAUGGGAAUUUCCAGUUACAUCUAUUGAAGCAUCAAAAGAACUUAUAUUUAUUUUAUCAUUAGUCCUUUAUUUGAAGCAAGUUAUUGCAUUUGCGUUACCUAUAAUAAUCAAGAAAAAUAUGAUUCCAAAAUGAUGCUGGGAAAAAAGACAAAGAAUUAGUUUAACACAUUCUGAUUCAAAUAUAAAAGGAUAAACCAUCGAUUCCUUAACGGAAGCCGAAUAUUUGCUUCCAGAUCUAUUUCUUUCUUUGCAAUUGAAAGUAGCAACGUAAGUAAUAAUAGCAUCUGGGAACGACUAAACAAACAAUUUGGUAUAAAAAAAUGCAAGGAAUGAGCUAAAGUUCUUUUCUUUUUCUUUUUUACUGGAUUCUACCAUCUAUGUAAUUAACUUGCUCAUUCUAUUAAACAAAGUAUAAAUACCAAUAAUUCCUUAUGAGAGUUCAAUAGUGAAACUUUAGAACACCAUUAGACAAAUAAUAUAUGAUAUUAUGCAAUAACUUGUAAAUCUAUCUUUAAAGAAACUACACAACGAGCAAACAAAUUAAACUACAUAUAAAAUCCUAAGAAUGUAGAAAAAGAAAUAUUCAACCAACAAAAAAAAAAUAAUCUUCAAUUGCAAUAAAAUUAAAAUAGUCCAGACAAUUUAAAAGAAGAAAGAAGACUAAUUGAAAAACUCAGAAUUUUUUUUUUUUUUUUUUUUUUUUUGAAAAACAUGAAUCAACUCAACUUAUAUUUCAAAAACCUUACUUGACAGAGAUCUUACCACUACAAUCUUCGAUUCUACAAUCAGUUAAUGUAAUGGAGCCCUAUGCACAUACGCAAUAGGAUACAAAAUGAAUUCACAAUAGAAAAUAUUUAGAGGUAAAAUUGUCUAAAAGGAACGAAUUUUAAUAAAUUAUUUCAAAAAUAAUGUUACCUAAAAGAAAGAAAUAUAAAAAUAUACAUACUUUAGGUUAUCAAUGUCCAGUUUCUCCACAACUUUGUUGGUAAUUUCUAUACAAUUUUAUCGUGUAUCCAUUUUCGUACAGUAGAAACAGGGGAGGUGAAGAAUAUAUAAGAGAAUAAAAAAGAUUAAAACAAUAAAGCUUUCAAGUUCGUUUUUACAAAUAAGAAGACAUUGACGUGAAAAAAGGCAGAAAAAUGAAAAAGAAGAGAACAAUAAAUCUUUAGAACCACGUUACGGUCUACACCCAGAGAGUAAUCUUUUUACAGGUACAUUCAAAGCUAGAAGAUGAUUAUGCCUACCUUCUAAUAAUGAAUUUGCUAAAAUUACCCUUAACUUUAUAGCUCAUAUUAUUUUUUUAUAAUUGUUAAUGCUAAGGAUGAAAUGGAAAUUCAAAAAAAUAUAAUAUGCUCUUACUACAACCGAAGUCAACUUUCAGUUUUGAAAAGCUAAAAUGUGCCACUUGCUAACCCAUGAGGCCCCACAUCUUGAAAAAAUUGAAAGCUAUAACAUAUUUGCUGAUGCUAUCUCUCUUCUUACCGUAGAAGAAUUGCUACAAUAAUUACACAUGUUAUUGUUUUUUCUUAUGACAAGAUUGCUACAGUAAGUACAUGCAUAGAGUAGCCGCAUUUCUCAUACAUACUUUGAUUCUCACACCUAGGAAAGUUGCUACAAUACAUACAUAAAUUUGUAUUCCCAAUAACACUUCUACAACCCAUUUGCACGAGCAAAGAAAAAAAAAGAACAAAAAAAAUUGAUAGGAACUAGAUAAGUGUGAAAUGGAUGAACAACAAAUGAAUAGUAAUGGAGUGAACUUCUCUUUUAUAAGUACUAGUUUUUUAUCCGUGCAAUGCACGGGUUACAUUAUUUGAACGUAAUGUUAACGUCUUUAAUGUUGAAGUAAGUUCAACAACUAAAUACAAAAACAAUAAGUUAUGAAGAUAAUGAAAAUAGGAAAUGUCGAGAAGCCUUUUUCUAGUCUUUUGAAAAUAAAUUUCUAUUUCUUUGGCCGUAGUACAUAUUGAAGGUACAUAGUCUUUCAAGGCAAUGAAAACAAGAGAAGUAUAUUCAUAUUAGAAAAUGGGUAUUUAUGUGAUGAAACUAUUGAUAAGUAUGCAAGUCUUAUCCUGCAUUAAGAAAGUUGAAGGAGGUAAAAACCAAUGACAAAUCAAAUUUAAAUUGCUCGCAUGUAGUUCAAUAGUAUUGAGCAUGAAGUGAAAACAAUAAAAGUACCUACCCGUAAAACAUGAUCUAUUUUCCCUUCACUUCUAGUCAAUCUCUCCAUCAUAAUUGAGCCAUGAUUGCAUGCAGUUCAAUAGUAUUGAGCAUGAAGUGAAGAGGAUAAAAGUACAUGCUCGUAAAACAUGAUCAAUUUGUCCGUCUUCACUUCUGGCCAGUCUCUCUAUGAUAAUUGAGUUAUAGGAUCUAUUUUCUUUGGAUUUUUUUGGUUCUCUACAACAAAUAUAGCAAUAACUUGAACAAAUAAAACUAAAAAUUCAUAUUCAAAAAUUUAAAAUUCUGACUUGAGACAUAUAGAUACAGAUACACAUAUAUACCUAAAAGUUAGUAAAUUAAGGAAACUUUGACAGAACUACAUACUAUGGCAUUGAUCCAGAAGGAUGAGUCGGUUCUUGACAUAUGCAUCUCAAGAUUGACUUUCGUUAACUAAAUCUCACCAUGCUUGCAACCUUCUCUUGACAAUGCUUUCUUCCGCAAUUACAAUCAUUUACAUAUGGUAUUAUACAUCUAUUCAUAGACCUAAGCCAAAAAAAAAAAUCAAAAAAUCCAUCAAACCGAACCGGCCCGAGCCAGUUCGGGUCAAUUUGAUACAGGUAAUUUGUUUGGUUUGAUUUUUUUUUUAAAACAAAAUUAUGGUAGGUCGAUUCAGCCAUGAUUUGAAGUCUCAAAUUGCUGGUUAACCGAACCAAUUCAACUCACUUAGAUUUUUACAUUUUUUUAAGAAAAAUAAAAAGAUAAGUCCUAAUCUUAUAAAUAUAUCUCGAUUCCAUCCAAUAUAUGAUAUUGUCAAUAAAUAAUAGUACCGAGGGUUUCCUUUUACAAGUUCAUCAUGUUGUACUUAAUCAUUUUUCUCUACUUAGGUAGUCAUGCUAUAUAAUGCAUAAAAAAAAUUUCUUAAGUUUUCUAAUGAUAUUUUAUUUUUUUAGUCAAUUGUUCUUGUAAUAUAAAAUUAUGUAGCUAUUUUGAUUUUUGUAAUCUAAAUGGGCACAAAACUCGAGACAAUUUUUAAAAAAAAAAUCAAUUUGGACUAAAAAUUUAAACUAACUAACAAGAACCGAAUCAAACCAAUUUGAUUUGAUUCAAUUCAAUUUGAGAUCUAGAAUGGGUUAGUUUGGAUUGAAAUUCAACAAAACCAACUAAUUUGGUUUCGUUUCGGGUCAAAAUCUACCCAAACCAAACAGUACGCAAGCCUAUCUGUGAAAUGUAUAAUUUUUUAAAUUUACUCCACAAAUCAAUAUUUCCUAAAAUUAGAAACAAAAGGUAAUUGAAAAUUAAAGAAUUUUUAAACGAAUGCAUUUCAAGAUUAUAAGAACUUUAACUACCUUCAUAAUCUCCUAGGAAAAGUUAGUACUCCAAUAAGAAUCAACAAUAAUUUUGUAUACACGAUUUGCAUGGUAGUAGGAACUAACACUCUCAUAAGGUCUCCGGUGAUAAAAAAAAUCAUUUGUAAUAUUGGCAAUAAUAACUUCAUAUUCAAUUGGAAUGAUCGAGUUACUGCACUUAUUUGUCAUGGUACCAUCAUGAAAAAUCUUAACAUUUUGAAUGACUGUCGUUCAUGAGUGUGUUCAUUACAUUUUUGUAACCUACUACAAAUGACAAAUAGCAAAAACUAAAAGCAUCAAAUAAUGUAUGCAUUAAACUAUCUUUUAGAGAUCACUAUAGUCAGCUAUUAAAUCAAAUAGAUUUUUUUAAAGAGUAGUGCUACACGGACAAGCCACGUAGGCCCUGUCCGUUUAGGGGGGCGCAUACGGUGCCACACCAUCCGUUUAGAAAAUCCCUUUUACAGCCUUCUUUAGAGCACAUCAAAGCUUAAGACUUUAGACAAUAAUACACUUUUAGGUCACAUAAAAACUGGGACGUCAACAUAGGAAAAUUUUAAAUAAUCUUUUCAACAAUUCCAAUCUCAAGGCAUUGAUUUCAUGGCAAAAAAAAAAAAAAAAAACUCAUGCAGAAUCGAAAGGCAUUUUCGGAUUGUACUCAUGGGCAAUAAUUCGACAACUGAGCUCAAAGUUAUUUGUAUUUUUGUACACCCCGUGCAUUUUUGUACAUACUUCAUAUUCCUUCCAUUUUCUAAUUGUUUUAAAAUCUUAUCUUCUAACCGAUCUGAAUCACUUCAGAACAUACAAUGCAUCCUUAUCAGCUUGCACUCCAUGAUUCUCAUCAAUCCCUAUCUCUUCAAGAAUUCACAUUCAAAUCUUGAUGUUGAAAUUGAGCCCCCAUUUGACCCCCAUUACCUAAAAAUGAAAAUGGGACGAAUAGUAUUUUUUAGAAAAAUGAGUGGUUGAAAAAGAGUGAAAAGUUUUCGAUUUAUGUGUAAUAUUAUUUUAUGGAAGAUUGUGUGGUUGAAAAUAGGAGAGAGAAAAAUGAAAUAUAAUGUAAUUGAAUUUAAUGGGGAUCAAACGGGGGCUGAAUAUUUUUUUCUUCUUGAGCAUUCUGCACCUUUUCUUGAAACGUUUGCUUUUUUCUUGACCUCGUGUUACUCUCUUUUUUCGAAUCCCUUUUUCUACCCAGAAAAUAGAAGGGAGAAAAACCAGAUUUUAGAGCAGAAGCUUAUAACUCAUAUGAGGCAAGGUAGCAAUAGUGGCUCGAAAAUACCAAAAGUAUUGAAUCACAACCCCAUUAAAGCUAAAAUCCAGGUUUGAAGCAUGACCUAAUAAUUUAUUAAAGGGAAAAUUGCAGCAGCGGUACCAAGCCUUUCGUUUAUUAUCAGACUUUGCCCAAACCUUCAUUUUGUUCCAACGAAGGUCCCAAACCUUUCAUAAAUAUGUAGCCAAAGUCCAGAUGGAUGAAAUCCAUCCGUUUCACCGUUAGUUGACCAAAGAACUGACUUUGACUCCAAUUUUGACCAUAUUAGUAAGGGCAAAAUAGUAACUUACAUAUUAUCUCAUUAAUUAAAUAAGUUAAAUUGAUAAACCAUAUAUAAAAAAAAAUGAAAGAAAGAAAAUGUGGGCAUCAUCUUCUCCCCCCCCCCCCCCACAAUCCAAAUUGCAACAGGCCAUCGUCAGUGGUACCGUCCGCCAUCCACCAGCCACCAACAUCCCCCACUCCAACCUUCUUUCUCCAACUCAACGCCACACCCCCACUCUCACUUCCACCUCCACCUCCAUCCCACCCAAAAGAACUCAAACAAAAUAAUGAUAACCAAAGAAAAACUUGAACAAAUAGGAACCACAAAGCAUUUCAUAAACUGUCACAAAAUUCUUGGACGAGAAAACGAAUUUAAGAAAAACCCAUCAAUCAAAACCAAUAAACGAACACAUAUGUUAAUAGGAAGUCACAAGCAAGAAAUUGAACUUGAAUUAACCGUAUAGAGACGAAGAGAGAAAGAGGGAGAGACCCAUAGUGGCUUGUUUGGAGAUUUGUUCACCUAUUUGAAUAACUUAAUUCCAACUAACCUUUUUAAGAGAAGCUGGCGUUUGAUCCAAGAUCUGUAAAGUAGCACAAAGAAAUUGCUAAGAGAAUUGAUAACAGGUUCAUUUCCGGGAUGGGAUGGGAUGGGAUGGGGUGGGGUGGGGUGGUUGAAGAAGACAACCAUUUUUUUAAUUUUUUUCUUAGAUUUUUGAUUUUUUGAUUUUUUUUUAAUUUAUUUAAUAUGGUAAUUAUCAAGUUAUCAUUUUAUCAUUUCCAAUUUAGUCAAAAUAGGUCAACAUUUACUUUUCUUGGUCAAAUGGACGGUUUCCAUCUAUCUGGACUUCGGCUGCAUAUUUAUGAAAAGUUUGGGACCUUCACUGGCACAAAAUGAAAGUUUAGACAAAGUCUACUAAUAAAUGAAAGGUUUCGUACCCCAGCUACAAUUUUCCCUUAUUUUUAUUAACAAAUGUUAUAGUGUCUAAUUGUAGAUAUAUGAGCAAAAGAAGCCAACAUAAAAUUUGAAAAAUCCAAUUUGUAACCUGUUAACAGGUACACUAUUUGGAUUCAAAUUUAAGUGUGGAAGUAAGUCACCGAGAAGUCAAAUGGUGUCCCUGUCUGCACAAGGGGCUUUGCCCUUCAUCAAUAAAGUUACCAACAAGAAUCAACAAAAAAUUGAUUAGGCUAAUUUUUAUAGAAACCUGUGAGGGGACUAAACAAUCUCAGCCUUCUUGUACAGUUUUGGCCAUGAGAAAUUGUAAUUUCAUCUCCAAUAGAGACAAAGAGUGAAAUUUAGCUGGAUCCCAUCUUGAAGAACGAGACCGUGAUUUGUUCAGUAGCAUCCCAGCAAAACAAGAAGGCCCUUCACUCAAUUUUGGCCCCUAAGCUCACAUACCUCAACAUCCUGGCUUCUUCUUCAUCCAAUGAUCCCGCAAACCCAUCUAAGAAAAAUGAAAUUCAAUCCAUAAGUCCUAAACUUUAAUGAUAGUAGUCAGAGUGCACAAAUGAGAUAUUAUUACUUUGCUUCUAUGGCCUGGGUCUCAUCUUGCUUCUUCUAUUUUACCUUUCUUCUUCCUCUUAGUGUUUAAUUUGGCUUUGUACAGAGAACAUGUGAAUCAGUGGAGAGGAAGAAAGAGAGAGAGAUUACAAGCCUCUUUGAAGUGAACAGCCUAGAAUCCAUUCAGCUACAGUAUGGAACCAGACAAGUGUGAAAACUUUGGCUCAAAAAUGAACAAUACAACCGCAUCCUCCCUUUUAUAGUAAUUAAGAUAAGAUAGUAGAAGAGAGACAUGAAAACAAAUUUAAAAAAAAAGUUAUUAUAGAGUUUUUUUAAUUAAAUUGAAAUACUUAAAAUUAAAAAUAAAUAUUAUAUUAUUUAAUUAGAAUUGAAAAAAUUACGUUUUACUAUAAAACGAAAAGAAUUAAAAAGAAUUUUAAAUUGAAUAAAAAAUUAUUUAUAAUAUGAAGAAAAAAGAAAUUUGAAAAUAAUUUUCAAAAAAUAUAUAAUAAAAACAAAACAAAUUAAACAAAAGAAAAAGUUACGAAAAAUAAAUAAAGAAUAAAUAAAUAAAUAUUAUUUAAUUAAAAUUGAAAAAAUAAAGUUUUAUCGUAAAGAGAAAAUAAUUUAAAAAAUUAAAAUUUUCUUUUACUAAAAAAUUAUGGGAGCAAAAACGACGUCUGUUGUCUUCAAUCAUUUCUCCAUUUUCAUACGCCACUUCAUUCCAAUCACUGCCUCCACUGCAAUAUUUCUUCAUUUUCACACACCAAUUUAACUUCAUUCAAUUCAAUACUAAUAAAGGAAAAAACUAAACGAUUUAACAAAUUAAAGAGCAAGAAAAGAAUUAUAAGCAAAAUAGAACAAAAAAACAAAAAAUAGGUUAUUAUAAAGUUUUUUAAUUAAAUUGAAAUAAUUAAAAUUAAAAAUAAAUAUUAUUUAAUUAAAAUUGAAAAAAUUACAUUUUAUCAUAAAACGAAAAGAAUUAAAAAAAAUUUUAAACUUAAAAAAAUAUUUAUAAUAUGAAGAAAAAAGAAAUUUUAAAACAAUUUUCAAAAAAAUAUAUAAUAAAUUAAACAAAAGAAAGUAACUAAAAUCAAAUAAAGAAUACAUGAAUAACAUUUAAUUAAAAUUGAAAAAGUAAGUUUUAUCAUAAAGAGAAAAAAAUUAAAAAAAAUUUAAAUCGAAAAAAACUUUAUUUAUAAUAUGAACAAAGCACAUAAAAAAAUAAAGAAUAAUGUUAUGGAGAGAAACCUCUCUAGUGUAAUAAAUAUAAUAAAUAGGCUGUAUUGGAAAUAUAAAUAGAGUUGAAUUGAUAUGUGUGUGUAUUAUUAUAUUAUAUAUUAUCAUUGGGAAGGUAAACUCAAGUAGACGCUUCAACUUUUUCAUAUUGAUUCAUUGGGAAGGCAAACACCAAAAAAAAAAAAGUUAUUAUAGAGUUUUUUAAUUAAAUCAAAAUAAUUAAAACUAAAAAUAAAUAUUAUAUUAUUUAAUUAGAAUUAAAUAGCUACUUUUUAUUAUAAAAUGAAAAGAAUUAAAAAUAAUUUAAAUUGAAUAAAAAAUUAUUUAUAAUAUGAAGAAAAAAGAUAUUUGAAAAUAAUUUUUAAAAAAAUAUAUAACAAAAAAAAUUAAACAAAAGAAAGUUACGAAAUUAAAUAAAGAAUAUAUAUAAAUAUUAUUUAAUUAAAAUUGAAAAAAUAAAUUUUUAUCAUAAAGAAAAAAGAAUUAAAAAAAUUUAAUUAAAAAAAUGUAUUUAUAUGAUGAGCAAAACAAAUUUAAAAAAAAUAACAAUAAAAUAAAAAAUAAAAAAAGACGGAGAGUUAUGUCUCCAUAAUUGAGUGGAACUCUCCAAUUUUUAUUUUUUUUAAAUUUGUUUUGUUUGUCCUAUAAAUAUUUGUUUUCGAUUUAAAAUUUCUUUAUAAUUAUUUUCUCUUUAUGAUAAAACUUUAUUUUUUCAAUUUUAAUUAAAUAAUAUUUAUAUAUUCCUUAUUUAGUUUUCAUAAUUUUCUUUUGUUUAAUUUGUUUUGUUUUUAUUAUAUAUAUUUUUAAAUUGUUUUAAAAUUUUAUUUUCUUCAUAUUAUAAAUAAUUUUUUUCGAUUUAAAAUUCUUUUUGUUUUAUGAUAAAACAUAAUUUAAUUAAAUAAUAUUUAAUUUUAAUUUUAAUUAUUCCAAUUUAAUUAAAAAACUUUAUAAGAACUUUUUUUUUGUUUUUUUUCUUACAAUUUUUUUGUUCUUUAAUUUGUUAAAUCAUUUAGUUUUUUAUUAUUAUAUUGGUAUAGGUAAACACAAGUGAAUGCUUCAUCUCUUUCAUAUUGACUUCAUUGAGAAGGCAAACACAAAAAAGAAGUUAUUAUAGCGUUUUUUAAUAAAAUUGAAAUAAUUUAAAAUUCUUUUUAAUUCUUUUCGUUUUAUGAUAAAACGUAAUUUUUUCAAUUCUAAAAAAAUUAUUUAUAAUAUAAAGAGAAGACAAAUUUGCAAAUAAUUUUUAAAAAUAUAUAAUAAAAACAAAACAAAUUAAACAAAAGAAAGUUACGAAAAUUUAAUAAAAAAUAUAUAAAUAUUAUUUAAUUAAAAUUAAAAAAUAAAAUUUUAUCAUAAAGAAAAAAUAAAAAGAAGUUUAAUUUAAAAAACAUUUAUAUGAUGAACAAAAAAAAAUAAAAAAAUAAUAAUAAUAAUGGACGAAGAGUCACUCCAUAGCAUGGAGAAAAUCUCUCCGUGUUCUCCAUAAAUAGUUGUUAUGGAGGUUAGUCUCUCCAUAACACGGAGAGUACUCUCCAUUAUUUUUAUUUUUUUAGUUUUUUUUCAUUAUAUAAAUAUUUUUUUCAAUUUAAAAUUAUUUUAAAUUCUUUUCUCUUUAUGAUAAAACUUAAUUUUUUGAAUUUUAAUUAAAUAAUAUUUAUAUAUUCUUUAUUUAGUUUUCGUAACUUUCUUUUGUUUCAUUUGUUUUGUUUUUAAUAUAUAUUUUUUAUUGUUUUAAAAUUUCUCUUUCUUCAUAUUAUAAAUAAUUUUUUACAAUUUAAAAUUCUUUUUAAUUCUUUUUAUUUUAUGAUAAGGCGUAAUUUUUUCAAUUUUAAUUAAAUAAAAGUAGAAAGUAGAAAAGUGGAGUAAAUAGUACAAUCAAUUUGGGAAUAGUGUAUGAAAAGGAAUGUGACAAAAAUAAACAAUGAUCCAUAAGUCUCUCUUUUAAGAAAAAGUAUAUUAAAGAACUUCAACAAAUAGAACUUGUAUAUGGGAAAAAAGUACACUAAAAUUAGGGGUAAAAAUUGGGAAAUCCGAUUAUUUAUUUAUUUAUUUAUUUAUUUAUUUUUAACAUUUCAACCCCUAUCUUUAGUUAUGUUUGCACCAUUCCUUGAAAUAAGGUCAUGAUUUCGUGACAAUGAAAUAAAAAAGGUAAGAACAAUCGCAAUACAAUAAAAUAAAAAUCUUUAGAGCAUAGAAGUUUAAAUAAGGGUUAAAGUAAGUGUUAGUAAAUCAACAUGUUUUUUUUUUUAAUAUAUAUAUACUAGUUAUCUAACAUUUUUGUUUUAAAUUAAGCACUAAGCUACCUUAUUACGAUUUUACUCCAAUCAUUGGCCCUACCUUUGACAUCUCCCUCCUUGUGGUUAACUUUUAGUUUUGUUUCAAUUUAGGUAUUCAUCUAAUUUUGUCUACUAAGCCCUAAUAACAUAUAAUAAAAUAUAAAAAAUCAAACUUAUAGAGGAGAAGAGCAAAAGUGGAAAAAGAAUGAAAAAAUAAUUGAGCCACCAAAAAUUAGAUUUCUAAUGAAUAGUUAUAUUUAUAUAUUACAAGAAGAGUAAACAAACAAGGAAACCUACACUAGAAGGAAACUAAAUAAUAUUAUGUAUAAAUUGAAAAUGCUAUAGAAGGCUAACUUCCCUCCGCAAACUCACGAUGUUACAACAAGAAGCAGCGAGAGUUUGUUAAGCAAGAAGCAAAAAUAAUAAACUAGAUGAGACUUCAUAAAGAAGUAAGCAAGCUACAAUGAAGAAGAAACAAAAGGUAGGAAAAUAGUGCCAUUCUAUAGAGAAUGACGAACCAGAUGACAGUCAAUCUCAAUAUACUUCGUACACUCAUGGAACACAGAGUCGUGAGAGAUUUGUAUAGCACUUUUAUCAUCCCAAUACAUAAGAGUUGGGGAAGACGAAGGAACAUCAAUUUCUUCAAGUAACCAACGCAACCACACAAUCUCAGCGGUAGUGGAUGUCAUAGCUCGAUGCUAUGCCACAAUAGAGGAAUGAAAAACAAUAGUUGUCUCUUACUCUUCCAAGAAAUAAGAGAAUCAUCCAAAAAUAUACAAAAUCAGUAGUGGACUUGCAAUUAGUGGAAUGACUAGCCCAAUUAGCAUCAGAGGAGGCAUGGAGCUAUAAAAAGGAUUUCAAUGGAAACAAAAGACUCUAAAAACAAGUACCAUGAAGAUAGAGCAAAAUAUGAACAACAGCUGCCCAAUGAAUUGUAGUAAGAGUUGAAGCAAACUGACUAACAAUAUGAAUAGUAUAAGCAACAUUGGGACAUAUGAUGGUAAGAUAAACCAAACACCCAAUAAUGGUAUGAUACAAAGUGGGAUUAGUCAAGGGUUAAUCAUAAGAGAGUGAAUAUCAAACGUUGGACUCAAGAGAAGUAUCAACAGUUUUAGUAUCAGUAAGAUGAGCAUGCUUAAUAACGUCCAUAGUAUGAUUAGACUAGGAGAGAAGAAUCAACUUCGAUCCCAAAAAAUAAGAUAAUGCACCGAAGACCUUCAUCUCAAAAUUAUGAGCCAGUUCUAAUUUAAAAUCUGCAAUCCCAUCAACAUCAUCACCAGUAAUAAUCAUAUCAUCAACAUAUAGCACAAGUAGAAUUUGACCAGCUGAAGUACAUCUAAAGAAUAGGACAGAGCCAUGAUGACGGGAUGUAAAACUAAGAAUGGUAACAACGGUUGAAAAUUUCUCAAAUCAUGAGUAAGGUGCUGGUUCGAAGCCUUAAAGUAUCUUUCUGAGCUUGCAAAUAUAUUCAAAGAAGUGAGAAAAACCAAGAGGAAAAACCGCAUAAACUUCCUCAUGAAGAUUUCCUUCUAAAAGGCAUUUUUUUACAUCCAAUUGAGAGACUUUGUCGACAAAUAGAUGCAACUAGAAUAAGUAUACAUACAUUGGUCAUCUUAGAAACAAGAGUAAAAGUCUCCUCAUAAUCCAGAACAUAUUGCUGAUUAAAACCCUUAGCAACCAAUCUAGCUUUGUAACACUUAAUUGAACCAUCGGAUUUGGUUUUAAUCUUAUAAACACAACGAGAACCAAUAGCAUAUUUACCUGGAGGCAAUGCAACCAAGUCCCAAGUAUCUGUCUUAUGUAGGGCAGAGAAUUCAUUAGCCAUAGCAUGUUUCCAAAGAAGAUCUAGAAUAGCUUUUUUACAGGAAGAAGGUUCGGACAGCUUGUGAAUGGAGGUCAGAAAAUAUCAAAAUGACUCAAAAUAACAUGGAUAAGCAAAAUCAGGUAACUAAGUGGACUUAUGAAUACAUUGAAGAUAUCGAGGAAUAGAGAGAUCAAGAGCUAGAUCAACAACAUCAGGCAGUAAUUAGGAAGGAAGGGUGUCAUAAGCCGACGCAUGUGUACUUGUACGACAUGACGAAUCAACAGUACAUAGGAUAUGAGAAGCUGGUCUAUCAAUAUCAUCAGAGAAUGGAUUAAUAUGAAUGAGAUCAGUUUUAAUAAUGAAACAUGCUAAAAAAACACGACAUGACGAGAAACAUAUAAUAUCUUAUUAAUGGGAUCAAAACAGCGAUAACUCUUUUAUCCCUACCCAUAACCUAAGAAAACAUAGAUAGCAGAGCGAGAUAUCAACUUACUACAUUCGACUUCAGGACGAAAAAUAAAGCAAGUAUAACUAAAGACUCUCAAUGAAAAAUAAUCAUGAAGAUGUCCAUACAAUGUCUCAAAUGAUGAUAAACCUGAAUUGUGAAAAAAAAUGAAUAUUAUUAAUUACAUAAAUAGUAAUAAGAGCUGCUUUACCCCAAAAUUCACUGAGAACUUUGGUAGACAAAAGUAGAAAAUGAGCAGUUUCUAUCAUGUGCCUAUGCUUUUGUUCAACAACAUCAUUUUGUUGUGGGGUAUUAGUAUAUGAGGUUUGAUGAAUUGUGCCAUCAAGAGUAAGCAAUUCAAAGAAAUCAGCCAAAGUAUACUCUCCACCCAAGUCGCAUCUAAAGCACUUAAUUACAGUAGAAUUUUAAGUUUAAUAAGUGCUAUAAAAGAAUGAUAAAUAGAAAGAAAUUCAAAAAGUUGUUUCAUAAGAUAAACCCAAAAAUAACAACUAUAAUCAUCAAUAAAAAAACACAUAAUAUCUAGACCUCAUUUUGUAGUAAAAUGAGCAUGUGUGUCCUCACACAUCAGAGUGAACAAGAUCAAAUGGUACAAUAGAAUGAGAAACACUUCGAGGUAAAGGUAAAAUAAAAAAUUUAGCUAAUUUGCUACCACUACAAUAAGAAAUGUCAUGAGUUUGCAAAUCUCCCAAUUGACCUUUAGAAACUAAAAAUUUCAAACGACUAGCCAAAAUAUGUCCGAGGCAAGAAUGUUACAAAUAAAAAUUAGAAGAUGAUGAAUUCAGUGAUUAAAUAUGACAAGUCAACACCAGAUGCUGCAACGUACAGUAGUCUCAGAUUGUCCAAAGCAUAUAACCCUUUUUGUCUACAGCCUUUCACAGUCAGUUCCAGAGAUCGAGGAUCCUGCACAUGAUAUGUAGUAGAAGAAAACUGAAUUAAAUAUCUAGAAUCACACAGUUGGAUAAGAAUAAGAUUUAAAGUAAAAGCUGAAACACAAUAGACUUCUGAAAGCGAUAAAUUAUAUGUGUUAACAAAACCAAAAUCUGCUAAAGGCAAUGGUGUGCUAUCAGUAGUUAUAAUAGACAUAGACGAGUUAGAAGGACGCAAAUCAUUAAAGAAUUUGAGUUAGAUGAAAUGUGUUUAGAAGCAUCGGAGUUAAAUAUUCAUGAAGAGGAAAUACCUUGUAACUCUGAGAUGACAAACCUGUAUGAGUAGAGGCUAACAUAGCAUGUGGCUAUAUGGGUAAGAACUUCUGAAAUUGCUAUGCUAAAUUAGUUAACAUGGGACUGGGAGAAGGUAGUGCUCCAAGUAUAGAUGAAUCACUAGAUGGCAUAGUGGCAGCUAUGUUAGCAUUGGGACAAUAGGAUCGCUACUGUGGUUGUGAUUGCUACUUCUUCAAUAGCUUAGAACAUUAAGACUUCCAAUGUCUCGUCUGUUUGCAAAACUUGUACUCAUCACUAGUAACUCACACAUAACGUUUGGUCUAGUUCUGUGUGGAUGAUCAAGAAAGUACAACCAACACUGAGGUGCUAGAUGUAAGAAAAGAUAUUUCUCAUACAAAAGAUUUAAAAUGUAUUUCUUUAGCUAUCAACUAAGGAAAGUGGAGUGUGGUGCAAAAUAGAGCCUCUAAGCCCUCAAAAUAACUGCGAAAUGCCAUAAAAAUUGAACUAAUCGUUGAUCCUCUCUAAAAGUAAUAUACUCUCCUUACAUGCUUUCAGUCCUAUUGAUUAUGUAAUAGCCAACUCAUCCCAAAUUGAAUUCAUAGCAGUGUAAAACUCGAGAACGUUAAUAUUCUUAUGUUGUAAAGCCCAUAUAUCAAUCUCCAACUAAUACCAUUUUGCAAAGUUAAACGUAAUGUACAACUUCCAAAAGUGAUUCUAAACUUCCUUUGUUGUUUCAAAUUUCGCCGAUUGUGUACCAAUGGAUUGCUCAAUAGAAUUAUGAAUUCAAGUGAGAAUUUUGGCAUUGUCUGGCUCCCAAUUAUCUAGCUUUGUCACAUAAUUCUCAGCACUUUUCUUAGGUUUCACAACAGUUCUACUAACAUUACUCCACAAUCUUUUUUCCUUUAGACAGUUCCUCAUCACGUAUUCCAAUAUAAAUAAUUUUUAUCAUUUAAUCUGACAUUAAUGGAUUGAAGCAAAUCAUCCCUUUCAGUUGUCAUUAUGAAGUAGAGUACGGUGCAAGAUAGAGCCUCUAAGCCCGAAGUGAACCAUUCCUUUUAGAUGCCAUUAUGAAGUAGAGAACGGUGCAAGAUAGAGCCUCUAAGCCCCUCAAAAUAAUUGCGAAGUGCCAUAAAAGUUGAACUAAUCACUGAUCCUCUCUAAAAGUAAUAUACUCCUCACAUGCUUUCAGUCUUGCUGAUUAUAUAAGAGCUAACUCAUCCUAAAUUGAAUUCAUAGCAGCGUAAAACUCGAGAAUAUUCAUAUUCUUCUAUUGUAAAGCCCGUAUAUCAAUUUCCAACUCAUACCAUUUUAUAAAGUUAGACUUAAUGUAUAAUUUCCAAAAGUGAUUCCAAACUUCCUUUGUUGUUUCAAAUUUUGCUGAUUGUGAAAAGGGCAAUGGUUCUAUGUAAAAAACAAGGGUAUGGUUAGGUUUUUCGAUUGCAAAAUUGGUGUCAGAAUGGAAGAAAGAAACAACUUCAAUGCACAAAUUAGGCUCUGAUAACAUGAUAACAUAUAGUCAAACAUAAAGAAUCAAAAAUAUAUAGGAGAAGAAUAAAAGAGAAAGAGAAAACAAAAAUAAUUGUGCCACCAAAAAUUAGGUUUCUAAUGAAUAAUUAGGUUUAUAUAUUACAAGAAGAGUAAACAAAUAAGGAAACCUACACUAAAAGGAAACUAAAUAAUAUUAUGUAUAAAUGCUAUAUAAGGCUAACAAGCCCCUUAUUAACAACUUUUUUUUAUAUUAGAUUAUAAGCUUAUCAAGCUUCAAUUUUAACUACACACUUUAUCGAACCUACAAUUUUUAUCUACUUUUUACCACACGUUUAAAUGAAUUAACAACCAACUUAUAAUUCCAUUUCACAUUAAAUAUUCAACUUAUGUUUUUAUUCAACCAAUGAAAUUCAUAAUAUUGUAAGUGAAAUUUGUAACUAGACUAAUGGAGAAUGAGCCCCAUAUUUUUCCAUUUAUCUUUAACAUUGGCUGGCUCAAUAGUUGUGGCCUAUGUUAUGAAUACUAACAAGAUUUUUGUUUUUGUUGAAAUUGAAGCUAACUACUUUAUCUGAUAAAAUUAAAGGUUCAUUUGACAAAAUUUUUGUUCUUGUUUUUACAUUUUGUUAAAGAGUUUAUGGAUCAAGGAUGCAUUUAGUUUGCUAUUUUCAAUUUUCUAUAACAUUAAAAAUUAUAACCCAUUGUCGCUGGCAUCUCAACGAGUCAAAGCCACUCUAUUUAAAAAGAACACAUAAAACUUAAUCCAAACAGUAACCCACCACCAACUACUUCUAGUUCUUGUAGUAUAGCUCAAAAAUUCAGAAGAAAUAUACACUAAAGGAAAAAAUUGAAGACAUGAUAAUUAUACUUACAGAUAUAUGUCUCAAUUCCUUCAUAUUUCUUUUAGCGAUUGAGAGAGAAGAAGAUAAAUUAUGGUUAGUCGAUGGUUUUCUUUUCUAGAGAGUUUUAUGAAUCAAAGCUUUGAUAGAUAUACCUAAGUUGUCUAGUCUCCCAUUUGGGUUGCAAUUUAUUGGAUCAUUUUUCACACUUGAAGAAAAGUUGCAAAUGAGAAAGCACAAAAAAAAGAAGGAAGUAUAGACAAUAAUGCCUCUUGUUGGACUUUUCUUCCAAAAAAGCAAUUAUAGGAGAUAUUUUGGGCUGAAAUAGUAAAAACACGUUAAAAGCAAGCAGUGCAAUAUGCAUGGACAUACUAUAGAUUAGAUCAUAAGAUUUAUCCCAACGUUACUACUUGCUCAUCGAACAAAAAAAGAUUAUCCAUUACUCACUCAUAUUUUCAAAUAAGUACUCAUCUAUCAUUAGAAGGAAAUCCGUUAAUCCCAUUUAACGAAAAAUUGCCUCAUGUUCAAUGAAAAUCAAACGUGACAUAUUGACGAUAUUAAAUUAUCGAGUUAAUUAAGGCUUUGUUUCAGACCCAUCUUUUGAAAAAAAUGUUUUUUUAUAAUAGUGAUUUUCUUGAAGAAUGAGUGGUUAAAAAGUAGGAAAAUAGUUUUGGGGUACAAGACAUUUAUGAAUUAUUUUAGCAUUUUCAAAAAAUGAGUCAAAUAUGACAAGCUAUCUAAUGAAUUUAUUGUUAUAUUUACUUGUUUGUGUUUGAAUAGAUAAUCUUGCUCAAGAGGAAUAAGCUAUUGUUUGAGCCCUAUUCUUUCAAAACACUUUUUUUUUUUUUAAAAAAAACUCAUUUUUACAUAUACAUUCUCCCAAUAAAAUAAUUUUUCAUGUAAAGUCGAAAUUUUUCUACUUUUUAACAACAUAUUCUCCACAAAAUCAUUAUAAACUCAAUACAUAUAUAUGCAAGUUGAGCUGAUUUCUACUUAAUUUAGUGUAAAUAUUGUCAUCUUGGUUGUAACUAGCUUUGGAAAUACUUCGAGAAACAAUGAACAUUUUUAGUUUAAUUGGAGUUAGUUUGAAGCAAUUGAAGACUAAUCUGAUGGCACAUGACUGAUAUAAAGCAUUAAAAGAGCAACUAGAGGAAAGUCAUUGAUUUUCGAGGUGAAAGUCAAAUUAUAAGAAGUUUGGAUAUUGAUUUGCUACCUUCUGUAACUUGAGGAGAACUAGUCUUGGAUGACUAUGGAGAUUCAAAGACCAACAUGAAAGAUUUUGGGAGAAGUGGAAUCUGUUGGGCAAAUUGUUGUUAAACGACCUUGCAAGCUAUGAUAUUAAUUCGGUUUAAUUCUCAAUCAGCAUGACCAAAUGAUCAAAUGAUAAAUUUAACACCACAGUCGAAAUGACCUGACCCGAAGAUUAAUUAGGUCAUUUGAAGCAACCUAAAUCUCUUAGUAUUUCUCAUGGUCCAACUCACUUACUUGGAUGACCAAAUUAAAGAUAGCCCACUUUAUCUAGUGUUGGGCCUUACUUGAUCCAUUAUUUACCCUAAUGCAACUUACCUUAUGUGGCCACAUUACUUGAAUAUAUUGGUUUUUCUUCUAUACCCGCUUCUGAUUCUCGUUACUUCUGCCUUUGUGGUGAUUGUAUUUGUGUUCUUGCCUACCUUUGUCGUCUCCUAAGUGGCUAUCUCUUGGCAACUGUGAGUGGGAAAGGUUUGGAAUUGUUUUGGAUCGAUUUUGGUUGUGGUGUUGAGAGAAAGAAGAAACUGAGCCUGGGUGAACGCCUUUGGUGGUCGAUUAUUACUUAACAUUUGGUAUUAGAGCAAGGAGGGUGAGAAACAGGCCAAAAUUUGGCCAAAAAUCACGAGAGAGGCACGCUUUCCCUUGAACCCGAAUCUGAAAUCUUCUUUUUUCUAGCCAAACGCAACCUCCGUUGGAAGAACAGAGGGCGAACCCAUAACCAAGUGAAGGCAACUCCAGUGGUGAGGCUCGUGCAACAAUUUUUCGACGAGCUUUUCUCAGGCUGAAUACUCAUUUUGUUCUCCUGAACGUACUGAUAUUAUUUUUUUUAGUAUUUCAGGUCAGGCAGGAUCACUUGGAUGAUUUUGUCCCUGGACAAUCGUUCUGCGAUCAAUUGGAAUGCUGCAUUAAAAUACAUUUGCUAAAUCUUUAGGGCGAAUAAUGGUGACACUAAAGCAGCAAAUUCGCAUUUCUCGAUUUUAUGGACUCAGAUAGGUCCGCUCUAGUAAAUUGACUUAACCUGUUUAAUUUUCAGCAUUAGUGCGUUACUGUGUGAGGUGACAGUAAGGCUGUGGUUACUGUGAAGGGAUAAAAUUGCUUGUGCUAGAAAUAUGAUUAUUUGUUCUUAAUUGUUUUGAUUGAGUACUUGCUUUAGUUAAAUCAACUUAUCGUUCUUUGUGCCAUAAUUGCUGUGAAACUUGUUUUUAAAUUGGACAUAUCUAUUUUUGUUGCAUUAUUAAUUCCACUCCAUUAUUAAUUUUGUUAGAACAUCAAGACCUUACCCAUUCAAACAUUCCCUUGAUCUAAGACCACGAGUCUUAUAAAAUCUUGAGAAUUUAGAAUGGAGUAUAUUAUCUAUAACCCUAGAACUACUUUGCAGUUUGACUAUAUUUUGUGCAUUUUUUGGUUGUUUGUGAAAAUGACAACUCACGACUUUGAUUUGGGAAUUUUUAACAAAAAAGUAAUUUUUUAAUCUAACAACAAAAAAUGAAGAGUAUUUUGGUCUAACAAAAAGUUUCAAAAGCUAUUGAAGGCAAUUUUCAAUUGAUUUUUCAAAAGAAGAAAAAGAAGAGGUCGAUGAGCUUGCUUGUAUCUCAAUCAUUUUACACUUGUCUGACGUUGUUUUAAGAAAGGUUGGUAAACUGAAAAUCGCCAAACAACUCUGGAAAAAAUUGAAAAACCUGUUUUUGCUUAAAUCUACCUCGAACAAGCUUUACUUACUUGAGCAUUUAUUCUGCUUUAAAAUGGAUCAUUCAAAGAAUUUUGAUAACAAUUUAGAUAUGUUUAACAAAUUAGUUCAAGAUAUUGUUAACUGUAAGGAGAGAGUGUUCGAAACCUAUAAGGCCAUAAUUUUGCCUAACUCUAUGCAUAACAUGUAUAAGGAAGUUAAAAAUGCAAUUAAGUAUGGUAGGGGCACUUUGACGCCUGAAAUUGUUAUAGAUUUACUUAGAAGUAAGAAGAUGGAAAUUAGAGUUGAAAACCAUGAUAAGAAAAGAGGUGAGAUACAUAUGAUGCGGGAUAGAACUUAGUUUAGGCAAAACAGUCAUGAUGGAUAUCAAAGUAGUAGCGAGUCAACUAGUAACGGAUGGAAUAAGAAGGGCAAUGAUAGGUUUAGAUCAAAGUCUAGAACGAAUGCUAGAACACGGGGCAUUUUAUAAAAGAAAAAUGGUAAGCAAAAAGUUAAAGAGAGAGAUGAGGCAAACGUAUUGUCUUUUACCCCUAAUGUUGAUGACGGUGAAGUUUACAUUAUUACAAUCAUGUCGCUUAUACUGCUGAACUAAAUCUAACUGCUAAUUCUCGUAUGCAUGAGUGGAUACUGCAUUCUGGUGUGUCUUUUCACGUGACAUUUGAAAGAAAUUGGUUUGAAAACUUGCAUGAAUCUAACGUUGGGUAUGUUGUGCUGUGUGAUAACUUUACCUACACUAUUGUUGGAAUUAACAACAUUAAUAUAAAAAUUUAACACUGGCUUUAUGUACACCUUGAAAGACGUUAGAUAUAUUUCUGAACUGUCUAGGAAUCUAAUUUCAGUAGGAAGACUUGAAAAAGAUAACUUCAUCGAUAAAAUUGGAAAUGAAACAUUAAAGAUGAUUAAGGGUGCAUUAGUCCGUAUUAAGGGGACUAAGAAAAGCGAUAUUUAUAUUACUACCGAAGAAGUGAUUAGAGGUUUAAACUCCUCUAUCUCUUCUAUCAAGGUUGAUCACACAUACAUGGCAUAAAAGUCUUGCACCGUAGGUAUUAAGAGACUCAAGCCUCUUAAUGAAAAAUGUGCAUUUGGUAAUGACUGUGUAUCUGAUUUGUCAUUCUGUGAUCACCGUGUGCUUGGUAAGCAUCAUAGAACUUCUUUCUCCACUAUCAUUCAUAAAGUUAAAGGUAUGCUUGAAUAUGUGUAUUCUAAUCUGUGGGAUCUUGUUAGUAAUCCCACAUUGGUUGGGAAUAAGUAUUUCUUGUCUAUUAUUGAUGAUUACAUGAGAAAAGUGUCGAUUUAUCUUUUAAAGGGUAAACCUGAUACUUUUCACAACUUUAAUAACUGGAAAAAACAAGUAAAAAAUCAAAUUGGCUAAAGGAUUAAACUCUUAAGAAUAGAUAAUAGCCUAGAGUUUUGUAACACUGAAUUUGACAGUAUGUGUAAAGAAAAUGGAAUAACAAGGUAUAAGACUAUUUGUUACGCUCACCAGCAAAACGGGGUAGCGGAAAGGAUGGAUAGAAUCAUACUUGAUAAAGUGAGUUACAUGAUGUUAAGUUCCGGUAUCCCAAAGCUAUUUGGCGUGAAGUUGUUAUGACUUCUUGUUAUUUGAUUAAUUUGACUCCAUCUACUUCUUUAAAUGGCGACACUCAUGAAAGGUGGUUUGAUAAACUAAGUGAUUACUCUGUACUUAGAAUCUUUGGCUGUACUAUUUUUUCCCAUUAGAGUGAGGAAAAGCUUGAACCUAGAGCUAGAAAGUGUCUUCUAGGAUAUCCUAAGAAUGUUAAGAGUUAUAAGCUAUGGGAUAAAAGCCAAAAUGGCAUUAAGAUCAUCAUGAGUAGGGACGUCACAUUUAAUGCGGGUGAGAUGCCUUGCCUUAAGGAUGAACCUGAAUCUGUGAAUGAAAUAGAGCCAUGUGAAGAGAGAUCGGUUUAAGGUGGAGUUAGGAAAACUUAGCACAUUUAUCCUACUAAUUCUAAUGAGGUGAAGACUCGGGUUCAGGAACUUGAGGUGGAAAAUAGAGAUGAAGUAAUGAUAGAUGAGCAUCUUGAGGAAGAAUGUCCUUUAGCUAACUACAAUUUAAUUAGGGAUAGAGAGAGAAGAUAAACGAGAGAACCUAGGAGAUUCGGAUAUGAAUCUGAGUUAGUUUUUGCUCACGCUAGUUAUGAAGAGUUAGUUGAUAGAAAACCAAAAAUCUUUGAGAAGGCGAUGAAUAGUGAACAAUCUAAAGAGUAGUUUAAGAUAAUGAAGGAAGAGAUGAGUUCUCUAGAGCAGAAUCAAACUUUAGAGCUAGUACCUAGACCUAAAAAUAAAUCAAUCGUCGAUCAUAAGUAGGUGUUUAAGGUUAAAGAAGGUGCCAGUGCCUCGAAACUUUUAAGAUUUAAAGUUAGAUUAGUAGCUAAGGGUUACACACAAAAAGAUGAUGUUGAUUAUAACGAGAUUUUUUCACCAAUUGUUAAGUACACUACUAUUAGGGUCAUACUUUCAUUAGUUGCACAUUUUAACUGGGAACUUGAACAACUUGAUGUGAAAACUAUUUUUUUACAUGGUGAACUUGACGAACAAAUAUUUAUGAAUCAAUCAAAAGAUUUUAAAGAUAAACUAAAAUUUGAUCAUGUGUGUUUUCUUAGAAGGUCUUUGUAUGGCUUAAAGUAGUAACAUAGACAGCGGUACAAAAGAUUUGAUUCAUUUGUACUCACUAUAGGAUUCCAAAGAAAUAAGUUUGAUCAUUGUCUAUAUUUUCAACACAACAAUGCUGAUAACAAUUAUUUGUUUUUGUUGCUCUAUGUAGACGACAUGUUCUUGAUCUGUUUAUCGCGUAAGUGGAUAUAACAUAAAAACAAUGUUAAAUGGCAAAUUUGACAUGAAGGACCUAGAUAAAGCUAAUAGAAUCUUAGGCAUGAAAAAUAAAAGAGAUAGGUCAAUUUCUGAUUUGUUUCUGCAUCAGUCUCCUUAUAUUUCUAAGGUGUUAAAAAGAUUUAAUAAGAAUGAUUGCAAACCUGUCACAUUAAUGAUUGUAAACAUGUCACAUUACCUCUAGCUAAUCACUUUACAUUAUCUAAAGAGCAGGCUCCUUGCAAUGAACGUGAAGUAGAAUACAUAAGUAUGAUUCCGCAUUCUAAUAUGAUUGGUUCCAUAAUAUAUUUGAUGGUUUGCACUAGACCGGAUUUAGCUUUCGCUGUUAGUACUUUCAGUAGGUACAUGUCUAAUCUGGGUCCUGAACAUUGGGAAGCUCUAACGUGGUUACUGAGGUACUUGAAGGGUACUAGUAAUAUAAGUCUAAAGUUUGGUGCUAGUAAUGAGAAAAUGAAAAUGAAGGGUUUUGUAGCGUCGACUAUGCGGGGGAUAGGGAUGGUAGGAAAUCGGCUUCCUCUUAUGUGUUUACAUUAUCUAAUUUUUGUGUUAGUUGAAAAUCACAAUUACAACAUAUCGUUACACUAUCCACGACAGAGUUAGAAUAUAUUGCCACAAUUGAAGACAUUAAAAAGGCUCUGCGGCUUAGAGGUCUGCUUUAUUAACUGUGUAUCUUGAAUGAAUAUGUAGUAGUGUGUUCCGAUAGUAAGUUUUCUAUACAUUUAUGUAAAAAUUCUAUUUUUCAUGAACGCGCUAAGCACAUUGAUGUUAACUAUAUUUCAUUAGAAAUAUUGUAUCACAAGACGUGGUAAGACUUGAAAAAGUCUAUACACAAUAUAACCCUUUAGACAUAGGCAAAAAAGUGUUGCCACUGGUAAAGUUUAGAAGUUGUAAGGAUCUUCUAAACAUUGAUAUAAGUAAAUGAUUUUCAAUUUUAUCACUUCUCCUUUAGAGGUAUCACUAAUGAGAAAUAUAUGUAUAUUUUUUUACAGGUCCUUUGACACCAAGAUGGAGUUCGUUGGGCAAAUUUUGUUAAACGACCUCCCAAGCUAUAAUUUUAAUUUGGUUUAAUUCUCAAUUGACUCGGCCAAAUGACCGAACGGUAAAUUUAGCACCAUAAUCGAAAUGGCCCAACCAAAAAUUUAAUUGGACCAUUUAAAGUAACCUAAAUCUCUUAGUGUUGCUCAUGGUUCAACUCACUUGCUUGGAUGGCAAAAUUAGAGAUAACCCACUUGGUAGCCCAUUUUAUCUAAUGUUGGGCCUUACUUGAUCUAUUAUUUAUCCUAAUACUACUUACCUUAUGUGGCCACAUUGCUUGAAUAUAUUUCUCUCAACCCAACCUGUAUGCGCCUCUUUGAAAGAAAACGGGUUCUUCUUCUCUGCCCACUUCUGCCUUUGUUGUGAUUGUCUUUGUGUUCUUGCCUACCUUAGUGGUUUCCUAAGUGGCUAUUUCUUGGCAACUGUGAGUGGGAAGAGUUUAAAAUUGUUUUGGGUCGGUUUUGGUUGUGGUGUUGAGCAAAAGAAGAAACUAAGCCUGGGUAAACGCCUUUGGUGGUUGAUUAUUACUUAACAGAAUCAAAAUUGAAAACUUGGACUACAAAGGACCAAAAUCAUACAAAAAACUUGAAGAAGGUGCUAUAAUGAAAAAAAGAGGAAAACGGAAGGCUAUUGACCUCAUUUUGCAAGCCUUAGUCCACUAGCGAAGUACCUGGUUGUAUUAUGCAAAUUGCCGUUGACCCACAUUCCUACAAGAGCAUAAUAUAUUUAGCUCACAUUUGGCCCUCAUUCUUUCCAAAUUCUAAUGGUUGAAAUAGUAUUUUUUUUUUUAAAUAUGUGGUUAAAAAAGAAUGAAAUUUUUUUGAUUUGAAUAUAAUAUUAUUUUAUGGAAGAUUGUGAUUGAAAAUAAGAAAGAGAAUGAGAAUGAGAACCAAACGGGGAUUAAGUUGUUUUAGUUGAGUAUUUUGUUACUUUUGUGUACACAACUUUCAAUGCAAUUUAAACAUUGUAUAAAGGCCUAUUCCUAUUGUUUGUCACAUUAGGGAAAAAGGAGGAUCAGAGAAUUAAGGGACCGUAUUUCAAGAUUUCAAUGUGAAGAAUAUAGAUUCUUAGACUUUAGUGUAAGACAUUCAUUUUUCUCACUUUUCCUUUAAAUUCAGAGAUAUAUUAUAAUACUUUCUCGUAUUUUUUCUUUAUGAUGAGUAAUUAAAUCAUUAAUUAGACAAACGAUGUAAUUUAUAUUUUAACAUUAAAUUUCAAUGCCUUUAAUUGAUUUAUAAAUUAAUUGUACUUAUGUUAUUAGUGCUUGAUCACUAUUUCCUAAUUUGUGAAUUGUACUAAAUUUAGAUGAGAUUUUUAAAUUUAGAUUGUGUAGUAAAAAUCGGCCAUGGGGUAAAAGGUGGAAAUGCAUUUUUACUAUAAUUAUGAUCUUUAGUUGAAGUCUGAGGUGAUUAAUGUGUUUAAUUCAAUUUUAUUCAAAUUCAUAUAAAUAGUAAGCAGACUCAACUAAAUAGAAUUUAUUUGACCUCGAGAAAAAUAUACUGAUUUAAUUAGUGAAUUCGAACAAAUAUAAUUUUAGGAACUGAACUUGAGAGGUGAGAAUAAAGGUGAUAAACUAUGGUAAAAUAGUGAGUUCUAAUAUUUUAACCAUCACCUUUCGUUGUUUAUUAAAAGAAUAUGUGAUUAAAAUGAAUUUAAAAAAUAAUUAAUUUUACAAAAUGUGUACUGAGGGUUAACCAUGUGAACAAUAAUUGGAGACUGAACCUGCAAAUUUCUCUGUUGGACAAAGGAAAACAGUAUUUUAUCCUCAAAGGAGCAAAUAAGUCCAUCAGCAGCAGAACCAACGCAGAAGACGCCACAUCAAUCAACCUACCCCAAAAUUGGUAAGAGUCAAUAAUUUCUCUUGCACCCUACCUCCUUUUCUCUUUCCCUCUUUUUAGUUUAUAAUACCUAACCUCUGAUUUGUAGACUCCAUCUGUCUCUCUCUCAUAAUCCGAAUCUCAGUAAAACAAUGCCCAAAUAAAGCAGCCCUUUCUUUUUUUAGCUUUUAGUACUUUUUUUCUCGUUAGGGUUUUGUUCUCUUGUUUAUUCCCCUCUAUAUUUGGAAACAUGCGGCCUUUCUCCAAGAAUAUCUUUCUCCGAACCUCUAUUUAGCCGAAAUCUAGAAACCCCUAUUCUCUUUGUUAGUACAAAUACUAUACAAUAUUUUGCUUUCUUGGGCUGUUUUGUUGUUUGUUCUUGAGAGGUGGGCUAUUUAUAUUAUUGUAGUAAAGUAUAAACAUGACAAGGGAGAAGAUUCAGAUCAAGAAAAUCGACAACACCUCGGCCCGGCAGGUUACUUUCUCCAAAAGAAGAAAAGGACUCUUAAAGAAAGCUAAAGAACUUACAGUUCUUUGUGAUGCUGAUGUUGCUCUCAUCAUCUUCUCCUCCACAGGGAAGCUCUUCGAGUUUGCCAGCUCAAGGUUUCUCUCUCUACUCUCUCUACUCUCUCUCCGUUUGUGUAGAUAAAUAGCUAGGUGUAGUAGAUUAGACAUGGUGGAAGAGUGAUGACUGCCGCCACAAAUUCUCCUAGUAAACCAUAAGCUCGAGUCUGGUUUGAUUGUAUUCCUUAUCAAUCUCGUCUGCAGUUCGUAGUAAUAUAAUAAUCUGCUUGCUUGAUAUUGUCACAAAAAAUAGAGAGUGGCCAGGUUUGGUGGAAAGGGAUGAAUCGUUCAAAAAUAUCUUCUGAUUACAGUCAGCUGAAUAGAGAGUAGGAAAAGUCUACAUGUACAUAAUUAUUGCAAAUGAUGUUAUCCAUAAUGUGAUAUGUCAAUCAUUUGAUGCCAAUCAUCCCAUUGUUGAUGUGAAAGUGUCAGAUUUGAAUUAAAGGUUGAAUCAAGUAACGCAUGUGAUUAUGAACAUCAUAUUGUAGACAAUUAUGUACAUUUAGUAGUUCCUUGACGGAGUAUUCAUUCUCAUCUUAUCACUUCCCAGUUGUUUGUUGUCUUAAUUAGUUUUCAUAUUCAUUUUCUUGUGCUUUUGACAGAAUGCACUUUGCUAAUUUAUUUGAUUAAUUGCCCCAUUGAGUUUUACCUUAAACAUUGAUAUUUUUGUAGAAUAUAAUAAGUGAUAAAGUGACUUCUUUUUAGUAAUAAAUGAGAUAUGAAUUUACCAUACAUUACCAGUUUAAACCCUCAGUAAAUAAAAUACCAACUUUGGACAAACACAAUUUAAAGAAUGAAUGUAAGAAGAUCCAGGCAACCGUUGAACUCUUUGUCUUUAUGAUAAAUUUGCCCCACACAUGUGGCAACGGAGGUUUAACAAUUGUCUCCCAAGGUAAAAUAAUCAACUUCUUAUGAUGGCAACACUUCAAGAAACAGCAAAUUGAAUGAAGUUUCGUACUCCUUUUUGUGUGAAAUGGAACAAGAUUUUGAUGCAGAAUUUUGGCGAGAGAAUGAUGCUGUGUGAUAUGCUUUGAUUGCAUAAAAUGAAAGUGAAUGAAACCAUCACAUAGGGGUCCAACUUAUAAAGGUUGAAAAGUUGCACAUGAAGUGACACAACCCAAUCUUGAACCCGUUCUCGAAAAGUUGCACAUGAAGUGACACAACCCAAUCUUGAACCUGUUCUCGAAAAGUUGCACAAGUACGUGGCUGCUUGCUAACCACCUAGUAUUCGGCUCGAGUGCCCACAACAACGAUAGCACCGCGAGCUUAGUUUUAUUUUAAAUUUCUCGGUUUUAAUUAAAAAAAUAUAUGAUUUUUAACAUAACUUCAUUGACUAAUUUCUCAUUCGUCCGAAAAUAGUUUUUGACUUUCAAAUAAAUACUAGAUGAGUAGAACAUGUUCAACCCAUUUCUCACGAAAUUUGAGUAGCAGGAUUCAUCCAAAUAUUUGGUCAAAGAUUGGUAAAAUCAACUUUCUCAACUAUUUUCCAACAAUUUUUUUCCUUAAAAGAAUGUGUAAUGGAUCUGUAAAUAUUUUUACUAGUGCAUUUCUUCCUAGUUCCAAGCUAAGCUCUUGUUUAAUCCUGGUUUAAUAUUGUAUAGAAUCAAAAUCAAAAUUUUGGUCUUGAGGCACCUCGAGAGAUUUUGAUCUCCUGAAGUUUUAUAUUUUCUACUUUAGUUCUUUCAAGCAUUAAUAAAUACUCUGCCUACAUGGUAUCUUGUUUGAAAAAACGAAGACAGAUGGUGCCUAUUGUGAUGCUCAUCUUCUAUGUGAGUGUAUAUUGAAUUAAAGCAUUUUCAAGAGAUUUUUUAAAAAUGAAAUGCUCUCUAUUUUAAAGAGCCGACCCUUAAACUUAUACUCUCCAAGAGACUUUUCAAACUAACAUGUUAAAAUAGAGGGUGCGUUUGACUCUCAAAAUUAAGCGUUUAAGAUAAAGAAGCCGUUGAAGUAUUUAAAAUUUUUUGCUCUCUAAAUCUAUAGAUGCUCUUUGAAUUGUAAAAUAUGCUCUUUAAAAAUGGAGAAUUUCUUAAAGGCGCUCUUAGGGUAGUAUAUAUUAGUAUAGGGAAUGUCUUCUAGGAAUAACAGGGAUUCAUGGUUGAAUCAUGAAGGUUCUAUUAGGGAGAGAUUGAAUUUAAUUUAUAUCGGCCAAGGCAAUAUUCAUUGUUUUUCUACCUCAAUUUAUCAAUUGAUAAUUUGCUUAAUUGAUGUUGGAGAGGACCAUAAUAAAAGCUUGGGCAAUGAUUUGGCCAAUCUUGAGUUCACAACCAUUCUGUAUGAUAUUUCUUCAUCCUCGAUGUAAUAUUGAAGUUUGUGGAUGUGCAAGAUUUUUGAUAGUUAGUGCUCUUAGAUGGAUUCAUUCUUCUAUAAAAUCUUGAUAUCGAGUUAAAUAACUACCUUAUCUAAAGUUCUACACAACUAAUGAAAUGGAUCAAUAAGCUUUUUGUACCUACUACCAGUAUACAUUCUUGAAAAAGCAGGCCAAAUUGAUUUCUUUUUGACAAAUGUAUGCUCACAUGGUAGACCAAGAAUUUCGAGGAUGCAGAGUUAUAUUUGAAUGAUGUUGAGAUUUAGUACGUACUAUAGUUGUGUCUUAACUUUAAAUUCUUUAAUAUUGAACUUCAAAGGAAUAUUUCUUAGCUUAUAUGUCAAGUGUUUUUCGAUAUAGAACAUGUUUGUUACGCAUUAUAACACAAUUUGAUAAUUUAUUUUUUUUACCUUCCCUAGUAUAUUUUGUUCAAUUCAACACACCAAAUAUUACAUCAGGUUACUAUCUAAUAUAGACGGUAGCAUCUGUAGCAUAAAAUAAAUCAUAGGUUAGAGUUUAUUCUUUUGAUCUUAUCCUGUCUUUGAUUUACUUCUCUAGUUAAGAUAGUUGACAUCCUUUUGUCCUAAGAUAUGCAUGUUGGAAUUAAUGGUUUAAUAAAUAAAAUUUAAGUGUGAAUUGAAAAUGUCUCCAAUACAUAUGUCGGUUGGGUGUCACUCUUUAAGUGCAAAAUGUGCAUAAUAAAGAGUCACGACAUGUACUGAGAAGGUACAAUCUAGACUAUCAUUCUAAAAUGACGUGAUCUAAUGGUUAGAAUUAAUUUGGGACAAAAGAUUCGACUAAUUGAAGAGACGUGAAAAUCUAUACAUAGGAUCCUCCUAGUUCCAUUUACUUCCUUCCUAAUUAUUUCCUUCUCCAAGUUAUGUCAAAAUAAUUUCCAAAUUAUUUUUAGAUUUGUGUUCGAUAGUUUUGGUGCUAGAAGAGUAGGUCAAGCACUGGUUUACCUGUCAAAAUUAAUAUUGUGCUAUAUUAGUUUUGGAAGAAGCAUUGUCUCUUGAGGAGGUUUGCAUUCGCAUAUAUUACUUCAUUUCAUUUCCUUCUAAUUUUUACGCUUCAAUAAGUCGAAAUUUUUACGCGUAUCUUGGUUUCGGUAAGUAAAAAUUUUAUUCGAUAUUUUUGCAAGUGUAGGUCACGAUUUUAUCUUCUUUGUAAAUGAAAUAUAAUACAUGCACCUAAUUACAAAAGGCCAUAGACAAAUAAUUGAUUUUGAGUUUUAUUUUGGCAUGACAUGAGUUCAGAAACUAAGACCCGGAACUGAUAUUGCUUGUUUAAUUGGCUGGUAAUUAGCUUUAAUGAGAAUAAAGCUCUAGGGUUGAAUUAUCAUUUCAUAUCAUGUUAAGUUGCCCAUUUUGAUUUUCUAAGAGGCAAUUAAUGAUAUACAUGAAUAGUAGAAGAUAAGAUUUAAUGCAUAUGUCGUUUCUUUUAAAUGACGUGAUUUUUAGAUGAGAUUAUUAAAAUGAUAUGAGAGUGACUAACAAGAUUUGGGUUAAGUGGCCAUGCCACCCAUUAAAAAAAAAUUGCGCAACAAGUUUGAUGUAAAAAAUGAAUCUAUUCAACUUGUGGGCGUUGAAGGCUAGAUAUAAAUGAAUACAUGUUAUAACUAAUAACUUGAACUUUUAGAUGAGAUGAUUAUUGGUUAAUAUGGAUUGGGACUUCUAUAUGCGGCUUACGGCUCUGUGAUAUGUAAUUGUAGUAUUCUAGUUUUGUGAUAUUAUUUGUAUUUAAGUGUUUAUAUCAUACAUGGUUGGUUUGAGAAUUUGUCUUGGGUUUAACCUUAAUUACCUUGUUAAGAUGAAUGAACUCUUAUCAUACUAGGUAAUAUUUGUUUGUUAUACUAUGUAAUAUCUUUAAGAAUAAUGUCAUUCACAGUGAAGACUAUCGUUAACCAUUCUAUGUAAUAUAUCAUGGCAAUUUGUUGUUUGAUGUAAAUUGUCAUGUGUAUACCUUGUAGGAUGACUACUAGUAGUCUAUACUAUGUGGUAUACACAUGACAGUUUGUUAUUUGGCGUACAUGUAUAUGCCAUGUAGGGUGAUUAUCUGUAUUCUUCGUUAUGAAUAGCAUUACUCUAUUUUUAAUAUUGAAGUGAAUUGGAAUUUUAUCUUAAUGUGCUCAAAGAGAUGGAGGCUCGCUCCCAAUCUUGAAAUUCAACUAACACAUUGAAUUGCUCAUUUGAUAUUUUUGGACUCUUCCCCUUAUGCUUAAGCCGUUAGGAAAAGGUUAAGACGUAAUCAUUUAAGUAUUGUCUUCAAAAAUACCUCUGUUGGCCCUCUAAACUAUGGGACAUUGUAGUUGACGACGCAAGAAUAUUGACUAUCUAUGCAUUUAGAUUUGAAACUGUCUUCGUACUUGCUGCUCUGUUAGUACAAUGAACAAUUAUGUGAGGCGUCCUUUCUCUCUCUUUUUUCGAGGGGUCUUCUAAAGCAUGAAGGACAUACUUGAAAAGCAUGGUUUGCACACAAAGAACCUUGAAAAGUUGGAACAAUCAUCUCUUGAACUUCAGGUAAUUUUGUUUCUUUUAACAUUCUUUAUGGAAUAUAGCUCAGCAACUGAAGAUAUAUCACUUGGUAAUUAGUGUUGUUUGAUAAAAUGGAUUAAUUAGGGCUCAACAAUAUUAAUACUAAAAACCAAAAAUUAUGAAAAUUUCAUCAUUCCAUAUGAUUUAAUGAUGCAUAAGAAUUCGCACUCACAUACUUAUGCUAGGCUCUUUGGAUAUAUGUUUGGUAUACAUUACUAUACAUUUCUUAAUAUUGUCUGAUGUGGUCGAGUAUACCUUAUUAAAUACAUAAUUCUUGUAUUUUGUCAUCUUACGAAUACAUGCAUACUUGAAAGUAGAAACUUUAUUUUCGAUUAAUUUCUGAAAGAACGAGGGAAUUGCGAAGCAGAUAGUUGGGGACAUCAACUACUCCAGAUUAAGCGGAGAAGUUGCUGAGAGAAGCCAUCAACUGAGGUUUGUGCUUCCAUAGCUCUUUUUGAUAUGGUCGGCACAAAACUUUGGCAUGAUAUUUGUAAAUAUCAGGUACAUGAGGGGAGAGGAACUUCAAGAGUUGAGUACUGAAGAGUUGCAGAAGUUAGAGAGAUCACUUGAAACCGGGUUGAGCCGCGUGAUAGAGAAAAAGGUAAGUGCUUAAGAUUGUGUACUGGGUUAUAUUUAUUCCUUAAUUGUAGAAUUUUUACUUGCAUUUCAUAAAUUUCUUUACCUUGAUAGAGUAUUUUUAUUUUACAGGAUGAAAAAUUCAUGAAAGAGAUCAAUCAACUUCAACAAAAGGUCACUGUACCAAACUUGUUAAUACGAUCUUUGGAGAGAAAAAACGUCUAAUUAAUUAUUUUCGUGUUUAACAUUAAUAUUUCGUACAAUUACAUGGUUUAAAUAAGUUUGAAUCACCAGAUUUUCAUGUAAAUAUAGUCUUAAAAUUAUGAAAUGUGCAGAGAAUGGAACUCAUGGAAGAGAAUGAGCGUCUAAGACUGCAGGUAUGAACUGAAAAGAAUAUGUGCACCAUCUUCACGCAUGUGAGCACUUAUAGUUUAAGGGAAAAUUGAAAAUUUUAUUUUUUGUAUGCUGGAGAUAUCGAGAGGGAAGAAAAAUAUGAUAGCAGCUGAUUCUGUGAACAUAGUCGAGGAGGAAGGUCAAUCAUCAGAGUCGAUUACUAAUGCUUGUAACUCGAUUGGCCCUCCGCAAGACUCGGAUAGCUCAGAUACAUCUCUCAAGCUUGGGUGAGCUCAUUAUUAAUUAGCAAUGUGAAAUGUAUAGUACUGAAAAUGUCAAGUGAGAAAAAGAAAUUAAAAUCAUAUCUAUCAUACGAUCUAAUCCUAUAUCAUAAGCUAUUUUAAAAGAGGAUCAUCCUUUCAUCAAUGAACUGUGGUUUCAAUUUCCUUUAUUCCUUUUUCAGCUUAAUUUCUUUUCUUGCAGGCUGCCAUACUUUAGCUGAAACAAUGGAGCUAAACUUAAUUGUUGAUGGAUGGAUGAUUACUUGCCGGAUAUGGAUGUUCUAAAUAUAUAUGCCCUUGUUGUGUGUUUCGAUUUCCUCCCUUCUUAUGGAAUCUAUGGAUCCGUAUACUGAAAACUGAUAAUUAACUGCAGUACGAUAUCAUAUCCCAAGUGUCAAGCUUAAAACCAAUUUCACUCAGCUUGUAAUAUAGACGGGGUGGAGAUGAUGAGUUUGGUCCAAAAAUAUUACUUGGCAUUGUACCCCAGUGAUGUUGGUGCGGCACCAAUAAGAUUGACUUUUUCAUCACCCAUGGUUCUUACAAAAAUUGUGACAUUAUUAUUCUACGUUAUAAUAUUCCUAUUGAUCAACGCUAUAAGAAGGCCUUACAAUAAAUCCAAAGAAGUAUUUGACAAUUGAAAUGAAGUUAUAGAAAGGGUACUUUUGCAAGAGAAUUUCCAUUUUUUGGGCAUUCUAAGAUGACAUGGGCAUUCUAAGAUGACAUUAAUUAGUGCAUGUUUGAUUCAGAUAAAACACAGCCUUUUAGGAAAAGUUGAAAAUUUAUAUUAUUACAUAAAUUAAUAAUAUAUAAGGAGACAUAAAUUCACAUUAAUUUAGCAUAUUUUAAUUAGGAGUAAUGUUAUUCGUAGUAAAGACUAACGGUAGUCGUUAUACGUAGCAUGCACAUGGAAGUUUGUUAUUGGAGGUAUCAAUAUGGUAAUUUUUUAUUGUUACAUGUAUCAAAUAAUAAAUUGUUAUGUAUAUGUCACAUAAGAUGACUACUGGUACUAUUCACUUGGGCCUACAUGAAUUUUUGUGAUUUUAUUGAUUUCACACCGACAAUAAAAUAUUUUUUAGAUUCCUCCAAAAAAUAUGUGGAUUAAUUAGAUAGUAAUAUCAAUUUCUUUCCUAGAAUUGAUUUACUUUAAUUACAUGGAAAAAAUAGGAAUGAUUGAAACACUAAGGGGGUGUUUGAUCCCCAUUUUUAUGUAAAAAUAUAUUUUAGAAUAGUAAAUUGAUGGAAAAUGUGUAGUUGAAAAAUAUUUUUUUUUAUUUACGUAUAAUGUUAUUCUAAUAAAAAUGCAUGUUUGAAAAGAAGAGAGAGAAAAAUGUAUUUUGAAAAAAAUGGGUAUCAAAUGGGGUCUAAAAUGAAGAACUCGCAUAGGCUACAAAAUAAAAAAAUAACACAACAAUAAACAAUGUGAUAGAUCGUUCUCAAAGGAAAUAUUCAAGAAAGUAAGGUAUUAGUUUUAAUUCUAGAUGAGGUCUAAAAACAAAUAAUCAUAAAAGUAAGGAUUUUUUAAAGCACGUCUUGUAUACAAUAAUUAAAGAACUUCAACAAAUAGAACUUGUAUAUGGGAAAAAAAUUACACAAAAAUCAGGGGUAAAAAUUGGAAAAUCAGAUUUAUUUAUUUAUUUAUUUUAACAUUACAGACCCUAUCUUCAGUUAUGAUUGCACCAUUCCUUAAUAUAAGGUCAUGAAUUCGUGAUAGUGAAAUAGAAAAGGCAGGACCAAUCGCAAUCCAAUAAAAUAAAAAAUCCUUAGAGCACAAGAAGUUUAAAUAAGGGUUAAAGAAAUUGUUAGUAAAUCAACAUAUUUUUUUAUUUUUAUACUAGUUAUUAGACAUUUUUGUUUUAAAUUAAGCACUAAGCUACCUUAUUACGAUUUUACUCUAGUCAUUGGUCCUGUCUUCGACAUCCCGCUCCUUCUGGUUAACUUUUAGUUUUGUUUCAAUUUAUUAUCCGUUUACUUUUGUUAACUAAGCCCUAAUAACAUAAAAUAAAACAUAAAAAAUCAAACAUAUAAAGGAGAAGAACAAAUGUGGAAAAAGAACAAGAAAAUAACUGAGCCGCCAAAAAUUAGGUUUCUAAUGAAUAAUUAGAUAUAUAUAUCACAAGAAGAGUAAACAAACAAGGAAACCUACACUAAAAGGAAACUAAAUAAUAUUAUGUAUAAAUUGAAAAUGCUAUAUAAGGCUAUCAUCCCUUUGCAAACUCACGAUGUUAGAGCAAGAAGCAACGAGAGUUUGUCAAUCAAAAAAGCAAAAAUCAUGAAUUGGAUGAGACUUUGUAAAGAAGUCAACAAGUUGCAAUGAUGAAGAAACAAAAGGUAGGGAAACAAUACCAUUCUAUAGAUAAUGACAAAUCGAAUGACAGUCAAUCUCAAUAUACUUCGUGCACUUAUGGAAUAUAAAGUUGUGAGAUAUUUGAAUAGCACUUUGAUUAUCCCAAUACAUAGGAGUUGGAGAAGAUGAAGGAACACACAUGUCUAUAAGUAACCAACGCAAUCGCACAAUCUCAGUAGUAGUGAAUGCCACAGCUCAAUACUUUGCCACAGUAGAAGAACAAAAAAUAACAAUUGUUUCUUACUCUUCCAAAAGGUAAGAGAAUCAUCCAAAAAUAUACAGAAAACCAGUAGUAGACUUGCAAUUAAUGGGAUUACUGGCCCAAUCAGCAUCAGAGUAUGCACAGAGCUAUAAAAAGGAGGUCGAUGAAAACAAAAGACUUUGAAAACAAGUACCAUGAAGAUAGAGCAAAAUAUGAACAACAGCUGCCCAAUGAACUGUAGUGGGAAUUGAAAUAAACUGACUAACAAUAUGAAUAGUAAAAGCAAUAUCGGGACGUGUGAUGGUAAGAUAAAACAAACACCCAAUAAUGGUAAGAUACAAAGUGGGAUCGGUCAAGGGUAAACAUUAGAUGGUGAAUAUCGAGUGUUGAACUUAGGAGGAGUAUCAACAGUUUUAGUAUCAAUAAGACGAGUACACUUAAUAACGUCCAUAGUAUAAUUUGACUAAGAGAGAAGAUAACUUCUAAGAGAAGAAACAACUUCGAUCCCAAAAAAUAAGAUAAUGCACCUAAGACCUUCAUUUCAAAACGACAAGCCGGUUCUGAUUUCAAAUAUGCAAUCUCAUCAACAUCAUCACCAGUAAUAAUUAUAUCAUUAACAUAUAGCAAAAGUAAAUUGUGACCAGUUUAAGUACAUCUAAAGAGUAGGGCAAAGUCAUGAUGACUGUAUGUAAAACUAAGAAAGAUAACAAUGGUUGAAAAUUUUUCAAAUCAUGUGCAAGGUGCUUGUUUGAAGCCAUAAAGUGUCUUCUUGAACUUGCAACUAUAUUCAGGAAGUGAGAAAGGCCACGAGAAGGAACCAUAUAAUCCUCAUUGUAAAGAUUUCCAUUCAAAAAGGCAUUUUUUACAUCUAAUUGAGAAACUUUGUUGACAAACAGAUACAACUACAAUAAGCAUAUGAGCAGUGGUUAUCUUGGCGACAGGAGCAAAAGUCUCUUCAUAAUCUAGAACAUAUUGCUGAUUAGAACCCUUAGCAAUCAUUCUAGCUUUGUAAUACUCAACUGAACCAUCAAAUUUGGUUUUAAUCUUAUAAACAUAACGAGAACCAAUAGCAUAUUUAUCUAGAGGCAAUGGAACCAAGUUUCAAAUGUCUGUGUUAUGUAGGGCAGAGAGUUCGUCAGCUAUAGCAUGUUGCUAAAGAUCCAUAAUAGCUUUUUUACAGAAAGAGGGUUCAAAUAGCUUGUGAAUGGAGGUCAGAAACUAGCAAAAUGACUCAAAAUAACAAGAAUAAGCAAAAUCAAGUAGCUGAAAGAAUAAGCAAAAUCAAGUAAUUGAGUGGACUUAUGAAUACAUUGAGGAUACCCAGGAAUGAAGAGAUCGGGAGCUAGAUUAACAAUCUUGGGCGAUACUUGGAAAGGAGGGGUAUCAUAAGCCGACGUAUGUGUACUUGUAGGAUAUGAAGAAUCAAUAGUACAUGACGUAUAGAAAGGUGGUCUACCAAUAUCAUUAGAGAAUGGAUCAAUACAAAUGAGGUUAGUUUUAAUCAAGUCAUGAGCAUUAUCAAAAGUAGAAAAGAAUGGAAUGUGCUCAAGAAACACGACAUGACGAGAAACAUAUAAUUUCUUACUAAUGGGAUCAAAACAAUGAUAACUCUUUUGUCCUUACACAUAACCCAAUAAAACACAGAUAGCAGAGCGAGAUAUCAACUUCCUACGUUCGACUUCAGGACAAAGAAUAAACCAAGUACAAUUAAAGACUCUCAAUGAAGAAUAAUCAUGAGGAUGCCCAUACAAUGUUUUAAAGGGUGAUAAACCUGAAAUGUGAAAAAAAAAAAGAAAAACACAGAUAGCAGAGCGAGAUAUCAACUUCCUACGUUCGACUUCAGGACAAAGAAUAAACCAAGUACAAUUAAAGACUCUCAAUGAAGAAUAAUCAUGAGGAUGCCCAUACAAUGUUUUAAAGGGUGAUAAACCUGAAAUGUGAAAAAAAAAAAGAAUCUUAUUAAUUAAUUCAACAGCAGCAAGAACUACUUCUCCCAAAAAUUCACUAGGAACUUUGGUAGACAAAAGAAGAUAAUGAGCAGUUUCUACCAUGUACCUAUGCUUUUGUUCAACAACACCAUUUUGUUAUGAGCUAUUAGUACACAAUGUUUGAUGAAAUGUGCCGUCAAGAGUAAGCAAUUCAAUGAAAUCAACUGAAGUAUACUCUCCACUCAAGUCAGAUCUAAAGCUGUUAAUUACUGUAGAAUAUGAGUUUUAAUAAGUUCUAUAAAAGAACAAUAAAUAGAAAGAAAUUCAAAAACGUAGUUUCAUAAGAUAAACCCAACAAUAAAAACUAUAACCAUCAAUAAAAAAAUACAUAAUAUCUAUACCCUCAUUUUGUAGUAAAAGAAAUAUGUCCUCACACAUCAGAAUGAACAAGAUCAAAUGUUACAAUAGCAUGAAAAACACUUCGAGGAAAAGGUAAAGCAAAAAAAUUUAGCUAAUUUGCAACCAAUAUAAUAAGAAAUGUCAUGAGUUUGCAAAUCUCCCAAUUGACCUUUAAAAACUAAAAAUUUUCAAACGACUAACCAAGAUGUGUCCAAGGAAAGAAAUUCACAAAGAAAAAUUAGAAGAUGAUGAAUUAGUGAUAAAAGAUCACAAGUCAACACCAAACGAUGCAACUUAGAGUAGUCUUAGAUUGUCUAGAGCAAAUAACCCUCUUUGUCUACGGCCUAUCACAAUAAGUUUCAAAGAUCGAGGAUCCUGCACAUGACAAGUAGUAGAAGAAAACUAAACUCAAUAUCUAGAAUCACACAAUUGGCUAAUAGAAAUAAGAUUCAAUGUAAGAGCUAAAGAACAAUAGACUUCUGAAAGCGAUAAAUUAUGUGUGUUAACAAAACCAAAACCCACUAAAGGCAAUGUUGUGCCAUCAGCAAUCAUAACAAACAUAGACGAGCUAGAAGGACGCAAGUCAUUAAAAAAAAUUGAAUUAGACGACAUGUGUUUAGAUGAAUCGGAGUCAAAUAUUCAUGAGGAAGAAAUACCUUAGUGACUCUGAGAUAACAAAUCUAUAUUAAUAGAGGCUGAUAUAACAUGUGGCUGUAAGGCUAAAAAUUUUUGAAAUUGCUUUGCUAAAUCAAUUAACAUGGGAUUGGGAGAAGGUAGUGCUCCAAGUAUAGAUGAGUCACUAGAUGACAUGGUGGCAGCUAUGUUAGCAUUGGGAUGAUAGGAUCGCUACUGUGUUUGUAGUUGUUACUUCUUCAAUAGUUUAGGACAUUGAGACUUCCAAUGUCCUUUUUGUUUGCAAAUCUUACACUCAUCACUAGCAACUCACACAUAACAUUUGUUUUGAUUCUGUGUAGACGAUCAAGAAGGUACAACCAACAUUGAGGUGCUAGAUGUAAGAAGAGAUACUUCUCCUGCAAAAGAUUUCAAACGUGUUUCUUUAGCUACAAGUUCACUAACCACCGAAUCAACUGAGAAAAGUGGAGUGCGAUACAAGAUAGAGCCUCUAAGCCCCUCAAAAUAACUGCGAAGUGCCAUAAAAAACUGAACUAAUCGUCGAUCCUCUCUAAAAGUAAUAAACUCCUCACAUGCUUUCAGUCCCACUAAUUAUGUAAGAGCCAAUUCAUCCCAAAUUAAGUUCAUUGUAGCGUAAAACUCGAGAAUACUCGUAUUCUUCUAUUGUAAAGCCCGUAUAUUAAUCUCCAACUGAUAAUGUUUUGCAAAGUUCGACUUAAUGUGUAACUUUGAAAGUGAUUCCAAACUCCCUUUGCUAUUUCAAAUUUCAUCGAUUGUGUACCAAUGAAUUGUUCGACAGAAUUAUGAAUUCAAGCGAGAAUUUAGCCCUUAUUUGGCUCCCAAUUAUCUAACUCUGUCACAUAAUUUUCAGCAGUGUUCUUGAGUUUCACAACAGUUCCACUAAUAUAACUCCAUAAUCAUUUUUCCUUUAGAUAGUUCCUCAUCAGUAUUCCAAUAUGAAUAAUUUUUAUCGUUUAAUCUGAUUUGAUAAAAUUAAAAGUUCAUUUGACAGGAUUUUUGUUUUUGUUUUUACAUUUUAUUGAAGAGUUUAUUGGAUCAAGGGUGCAUUUAAUUUGCUAUUUUAGUUUUCUAAAGAUUGAAAAUUAUAGCUCAUAGCCGCUUGCAUCUCGAUGGGUCACUCUAUCCUCUUUAAAAAGAACACAUAAAAACUUAAUCCAAACAGUAACCCGCCACCAAUUGCUUUUAAUUCUUGCACUACAACUCAAAAAUUUAAAAGAAAUAUACACUAAAGGAAAAAAUUGAAAGCAUGAUAAUUAUACUUACAUAUAUAUGUCUCAAUUCCUUCAUAUUUCUUUCAGCGAUCGAGAGAGAAGAAGAGAAAUUAUUGUUAGUCGAUGGGGGGGGGGAGAGUAUAGACAAUAAUGCCUCUUGUUGGACUUUUCUUCCAAAAAGCAACUAUAGGAGAUAUUUUGGACUGAAAUAACAAAAACACUUAAAAAGCAAACGGUGCAAUAUGCAUGGACAUACUAUAGAUUAGAUCAUAAAAUUUAUCCCUAUGUUACUACUUGCUCAUCAAACAAAAAAAAAAAAAAAAAAAGAUUAUCCAUUACUCACUCAUAUUUUCAAAUGAGUACUCAUCUAUCCUUAGAAUGAAAUCCGUUAAUCCCAUUCAACAAAAAUUGCCACAUGUUCAAUGAAAAUCAAAUGUGACAAAUUGACGAUAUGAAAUUAUCGAGUUAAUUAAGGCUUUGUUUCAGACCCAUUUUUUUGAAAAAAAUGAUUUUUACAAUCGUGAUUUUUUUGGAGAAUGAAUGGUUAAAAAGUAGGAAAAUAUUUUUGGUCUACAAAAGUUAUAUGAAUUAUUUUAGCAGUUUCAAAAGCUGAGUCAAAUAUGACAAGCUAUCUAAUGAAUUUAUUGUUAUAUUUACUUGUUUGUGUUUGAAUAGAUAAUCUCGCUUAGGACGAAUAAGCAAUUGUUUGAGCUCCAUUCUUUCAAAACUUUUUUUUUUCAAACUCACUUUUAAUUAUACAUUCUCCCAAUAAAAUAAUUUUAAAUGUAAACUCGAAUUUUAUUUUUAUUUUUAAACAACAUAUUCUCCAAAAAAUCAUUAUUACAAAAUCUAAUAUCCUAAAAAUGAGGCUCAAAUAAAGCCUAAGUUUAGGAAUGUUUGAUAAUCGUGUAUUAUACACUUUUUUGACUUAUAAACUUGAUAUAUAUAUUUGCAAGUUGAGCUUAUUUCUACUUAAUUUAGUGUAAAUAUUGUCGUCAUAGUUAUAACUAGCUUUAGAGGUACUUCAAGAAACAAAGAACAUUUUGAGUUUAAUUGUAGUUUGAAGCAAUUGAAGACUAAUAUGAUGGCACAUGACUGAUGUAAAGCAUUAAAGAGCAACUAGAGGAAAUUCAUUGAUUUUCAAGGUGAAAGGCAACUUAUAGGAAGUUUGGAUACUGAUUUGCAUCCUUAUGUAACUUGAGGAGAACUAUUCUUGGAUGACUAUGGAGAUUCAAAGACCAACAUGAAAGCUUUUGGGAGUAGUGGAAUCAAAAUCGAAGACUUGAACUACAAAGGACCAAAAUCAUACAAGAAACUUGAAGCAUGUGCUAGAAUGGAGAGAGAGAGAGAGAGAGAAGGAAAAAGGAGUGCUGGUGACCUCAUUUUGUAAACCGUAGUCUAUCAGCUAAGUACAUGGUCGUAGUAUGCAAAUUAUCAUUGACCUGCAAUCCUACUAGAGCAUAAAAUACUUAAGUUGUUUUAGUCGAGUAUUUUGGUACUUUUGUGUACACAACUUUCAAGGCAAUUUAGACACUAUAUAGAGUUAAUUGUUCCAAUGGUUGUUGAACUUUGGUCCAUGUCUUUGAUUAACCACUGAAAUUUAAAAUGUCUAGUUUUGACCACUGAACUUUGAAAAAUAUAGAGUUUUGGUCACUGAACUUAGGUUCAUGUCUUUGAUUACUCACUGAAGUUUAAAACGUCGAGUUUUGACAAUUGAACUUUCAAAAAUAUUGUAAAUUACUCACUGAACUUUGAAAAAUGUUAUACAUUAUUCACUGUAAACUCGAUAUUUUUCAAAGUUCAACAGUUAUGCUAGUGAGUAACGUACGACAUAUUCUAAUGUUCAGCGGCCAAAAGUUGACAUUUUAAACUUCAUUGAGCAAUUUAAGAUAUGAGCCUAAAUUUAGUGAGUAAUUGAAGACAUUGACUUAAGUCUAGUGACCAAAAUUUGACAUUUUUUAAAGUUUAGUGGCCAAAACUCAACAUUUUAAACUUCAAUGGCCAAUCAAAGACAUUAACAUAAGUUAAGUGACCAUUGGAACAAUUAACUCCACUGUAUAAAGACCUAUUGUUUGUCAAAUUAGGAAAAAGGGAAGAGGAGACAAUUAAGGGACAGUGUUUUAAGAUUUCAAUGUGAAGAAUAUAGAUUCUUAGAUUUUAGUGCAAGAUAUUCAUUUUUCUCUCUUUUUCGUUUAAAUUCGGUGAUAUAUUAUAAUACUUUCUUGUAUUUUUCUUCUUUAUGAUGAGUAGUUAAAUCAUUAAUUAGGAUAAACGAUGUAAUUUAUAUUUGAACGUUAAAUUUCAAUGCAUUUAAUUGAUUUAUAUAUUAAUUUUACUUAUGUUAUUAGUGCUUAAACUACUUGAUCACUAUUUCCUGAUUUGUGAAUUGUACCAAAUCUUGAGGAGAUUUUUAAAUUUAGAUCACGUAAUACAAAUCGGCCAUGGGGUAAAAUGUGGAAAUGCAUUUUUACUAUUAUUGCGAUCUUUAGUUGAAGUCCUAGGUGGUUAAUGAGUUUAAUUAAGAUUUAUUCAAAUUCAUAUAGAUAGUAAGUAGACUUAAUAGAAUUCAUCUGAUCUCGAGAAAUAUAUACUGAUUUAAUUAGUGAAUUCGAUUGAAUACAAUUUUAGGAACUGGGCUUGAGAGGUGAGAUUAAAGGUGAUAAACGAUGGUAAAAUACUGAGUUCUAAUAUUUUAACCAUCACCUUUAAUCGUUUAUUAAAAGAAUAUGCAAUGAAAGUGAAUUUUAAAAAAAAAAAAAUUUAGAAAAUGUGUACCAAGGGCUGACCAUCUGAACAAUAAUUGGAGACUGAGCCUGCAAGUUUCUCUGUUGGACAAAGGAAACAGUAUUUUAUCCACAUAGAAGCCAAUAAAGUCCAGCAGCAGCAGAACCAACGCAAAACGCCACAUCAAUCAACCAACCCCAAAAUUGGUGAGAAUUCAAUAAUUUCUCUUGCACCCCUACCUCCUUUUCUCCUUCCUUAUACCUACCUUCUGAUUCGUAGACUCCAUCUGUCUCUCACUCAUAAUCGGAAUCUCAGUAAAACAAUGCCCAAAUAGAGCAGCCCUUUCUUUCUUUAGCUUUUAGUACUUUUUUCUCAUUAGGGUUUUGUUCUCUUGUUUAUUCUCCUUUAUAUAUGGAAACAUGCCGCUUUUCUCCAAGAAAAUGAACCACUAUUAAGCCGACAUCUAGAAACCCCUAUUAACUUUGUUACUACAAAUACUAUAAAAUAUUUUGCUUUGUUGGGCUGAUUUGUUGUUUGUUCUUGAGAGGUGG
rnacentral:lncRNA from 1 species